GAGCUUGACCAAGACGUUAUGCUACCGUUUGGUUCGGGGUUAAGAAAAAAUUAGUUAUUCCAGAAAUAGGGUUAGGUUUAGGAUUAAGAUGGAGUUAGAGUAUUUUUGUGUUUGGUUGGGGGUUGGAAUUAGUCUAGAAUAGUGAAAAAUAGUGUUUGGUUCGAGUAGGUGGGAUAAGAAGGAUAGUGAGUUAUUAUGAAUAGAAAAUAGUGUUUGGUUGGGGAUAUAUAGAUCUUUUGUGUAGCUUUAUUACCAAGCUCUAGUUCUUGAAGAUAUCAUGUGGGUCGCAAAAAUAUUUUUCUCAUAUAUAUAAUACGCAAUAUUCAUGUCGACGCUGUCGAUUCAACACCCAAAUAAUGAAUUUCCAAAAAGACCAAUGUUCUCUUCUAUACCUAUAAUAUCUCAAUGAACUCACAAAUCAAAUCAAACCUUAAUUGGUCUUACACCUUUGAUCAUCCUUGAUUCCAGUUAAUUAAUUUCUUCUUCCACCCAACCCCAACGUAUUAUAUAUACAAAACAAACUGUUUGAGCACAUAUUUUAAGGAUUAUGUAAUAAGCAUCACAUGCUAAAACUGGUUAAAUUAAUGUAUGAUCCUUUGAUUCUCUCAUAUCUUUGCUAUAUUAUUAUUAUUUUUUUAAAACAAAAAAAGACCCAUUAGUUUCUUUGCUUAUAAGAUAUCGCAACUAUAUAUAUAUAGUUUGUGUUUGACCAUCUUUCCCCCCAACUUUAAAAAGUGCUACGAAAAGUGCACGAGAGAGAGAAUCUUCUUGUAGAAACUUCCACAAUAACUUUACAACAUGACGUAGCAAUUCUACCAAGAGCCAACAAAUUUUUCCUCAAAAUAAAUACACCGAAUCUGAACCAAAUCAAUUUGUUUUGCUCGGCUUAAUUGGGUGAAAUUGGCUCCUUUAGAUUUCAUAUUAUAGCUUAUAAAUCCGAAACAAUCCUAUGAGAGAUCAUAUUUGCUCAUAAAAAUCUCACUCGCUGGCUUUUUGAUGGUGCACCAGUAUGCAUCCCCACUACCGUGUAUGGUUAAUUAAUAUUUUCUGUGUUAGAGCAGAAGCUCUAAGCUGAAACUUCUUCAGCAGCGACAUCAUGACAGAUACCCUAUCUAGUAGCAUAUAAGGAAGGAAACGGGCGAUUAAGUUGUAUAUAUCUUCCCUUAGCCGUCAAUUGACCACCCACCCGAUCAUCAUCUCUUUCACACACAUUCUCUUUCUUUAUCAUCACCGUCAUCAUGAUUCAAAACCCUAAUUGAGGGUCCCCACCAUUUUUCUUUCUCCUCAUCUCCUUGAAGUGUUCCAACAAAGAGGAAUGGCCCCCACUCCUUCACAUGCCAAUACACACACAUACCAACGGCCAUCUUAUUACAUAGCUGGCUUGUAUGAUUCCAUCGACCCACUACUCCUCACAACCCCACACACUCCUUGGCGCACACACACACACGAACCCCUCUUCCAAUCUCAAAUCUCGGCCGUCCGUUCCUGCACUAAAUCCAAUCGUCCAUUCGCACGCAUACAUAUGCAAAGUGUGGUGCCACUGGAAUGAACAAACGUUUUCCGUAGGAAAUUAAUUAAGAUAAGUCGAUUUUAAUCUACACCAACUGGUAUAAAACUCGAUUAGGUCGAUUUGACGACCAAAAUUUAAUCCAAACUAAAUACUGAUAAAAUGAAAAGGAUAAGUUAGUCCAAACAGAAUCGUAAUAAAUUUAAUAAUAACAACGAGUUUUUAUCAUCCCACGCGAAUCACGAUGCACGUGCGCUUCAGUAAUAAUCUCGUGCUAGACGGCCGCCCGCCACACACACCGACCGUUUACACCCACCCUCUCCCUCUCUCUAUGUGCCCGUCCGCGCACGAAUCUCAACGCAGUGGCUACGCACGUGUCGAUGGUGUCACUGUGAAUCCCACCCAACACGUGCGAGCUGCGUCCGAAUCACGUCAAUGGCCCUCGUUGCGCCACGUCACCCCGAUCACCCGAGUGGUCAUUACAGUAUUUUUAUUAUUUUUUAUUUUAUCUUUACCGAGUAAUUAUAAACAGCGACAAUUAAGACGCACGUAAUAUAUUAUAUUAUAAUAAUAAUAAUAAUAAUAAUAAUAAUAGGAUUGCGAGUGGCUGUGUAGCUGUAGCAGCAAGCGUUACUCGCGGUACGAUUACAACAAAUCACCGACCACUUGUUAUAUCUAACGGCUCCCAAGCGACGCAGAAGAGACAGUGCGCUCACACUCACACCCAUCUCCCCCUCCGCACCGUCGAUCUCCGCGGCGACGGCCCUGAUCAAGGACGGGGUCACGUGCACAAUGUGCGCCUCGUGCGACAACCCGUGCCAACCCCUCCCCUCCCCUCCUCCUCCUCCGCCGACCACCGCCACGUGUCCCCCGCCGCCGUCGUCCGUGUACUACCCGGCGCCGCCGCCGCCGAACCCCUUCUUGCCCUACUUCCCGUUUUACUAUUAUAGCCCUCCCCCUCCCGGUAAUUACAUCUCCGCCACUCCCCCUUCCAUAAACAACCCCGUCUCCUCCUCUCCCCCGCUUCUACCCCUCCUCCUCCUCCUCUCCCCCCUCCUCUUCCUAUAACAUCCCAAAACCUCGGAGGGGUAUUUUGGGAAUUCGGAGGCUACCACCGAUCUCGCUCUGUAAAACUCCCUUUUUCUCAUCUCUUAAUUUCUCUUCUUUUUUUUUCUUUUUUUUUUUCUUUGUAAUUUUUAUGUUGGGCCUCUAGUGUUGUUGUGAUUGUAAUAAUAAUAGUAAUUAGUAAUAAUCACAGGCGGGGGGGAGGAAUGGAAAAUUAGGAUGAAAUGAAAUAAGGGCGAAUUGUUUAUGGUGGGGAUUAUUUCUAGUUUAUUAGUAAUUGUUAGCAAAGUGUAUAAUUAUUAUUAUUAUUAUUAUUAUUAUUAUUUUUAGAUGGUUAUAUAACUUGGAGAAUUUGGUGAGUUUGGUAACGCUGCAGGAUUUGAUAUCUUUAAUAAUAAAAUAAAUCCUUUUCGGUGGAUCUCCCAAUUACCUUUCCACUCAUGCUACUAGCUAGAUGGAGCUUAAAUUAUUGCUUCUGCUUUUGCAAAAAGCUUAUUUUCACUUCUAGAGCAGAGACAUGUUCUAGAGCUCGUGUAAAGUAAAUCAAGUACUAAAUCCAAUUUCAUACUACUUGCAUUAGAAUAUCUAUAUAUAUAUAUAUAGAAAAUAAUCUGUUUUAUAACUUUUAUAGAGAAAACUUCAAAUACUAUCCAGAAUUUUCUCACUUUAGUAUCUCGUGGUUUAAACUGUAUCAUUUUAUGGUUUCUUUUUUCUCUUUUCGUUAUCCUUUUCGUUAAUUUUUUCGUUAAUCAAUAAGAAAGUUAAAAUUAUAGGGUAUUAAAACAAAAUUUUGUAAACCAUGAGGUAGUAAAAUGAAUAUUUGAUAAACCACAGGGAGUAUCUGAAGUUUUUUUUCUAUAUAUUUUAACGGGGAGUCAACAGAAGGAAUAACAAAAAAAUUAACGAAAAGGAUAACGAAACGAGAAAAACGAAACUAUUUGGUACUAAAGUGAUACAUUUUAAAUCACAACAUACUAAAAUAAAAAUUCACGAAAUUAUAGGUGGUGGUAUUUGAAAAUUUUUUUUUUUUUCUUAAUGCCAGCAAAUCCUUUUGAGAUGCAGAGUGAGUAGAGGAAGCAGAUGAAGGGGAAUCGUACAACUCUCAUACAAAAUGUAGGAAUCAUUUGAAUAAAAACUCCCACAGGUACCCCUUUAUCAUUUGGUGCGUUGGUUUGUAUUAGUACUAAGCCACCUAUCCGUUUGGUUGGGGGUUAAGGGGUGGAAUAACCCCUUAACCCCCAUUGUAUUUCCAAACACUUUUAAAAAUGGGCGGGUUAGUUAAUCCCAUCUAAUCCCACCAAACUCCAACCAAACACUAUUUUCUAUUCAUAAUAACUCACUAUCCUUCUUAUCCCACAUACUCCAAUCAAACACUAUUUUUCAUUAUCCUGGACUAACUCCAAUCCCCAACCAAGCACAAAAGUACUCUAACUCCACCUUAACCCNAAAAAAAAAAAAAAAAAAAAAAAAAAAACCAUAUGGCACUUAAAUUAUACAUUUUAAGCUACAUAGUAUAACGGAAAGUUAACGGAGGGUAUAACGAAAAGAAAAAAAUGAAGCCAUAACAUACUAAAGUGAUACACUUUUAAUCAUAAUGUACUAAAAUGAGAAAGUGUUAAACGGCAGGACGGUAUUUGAUUUUUUUCCUAAUUUUUAUAUCGAAUGAGAUGAAAAAAAAAAAUUCUACUAGAUUUUUUUUUCUAAGAUUCGAAAGGCAAAAAAAAUAAUUUUUAAAACAUUUUCGGAAAACCAAACAACCGCUUAAUUAAAGUUUGUACCUAACAUCACUUAAAAAGAAUAUUAGAAGAUACUUGAUUACCUCUCCACAUUAACUAGGCUUGUUGUACGUCUAAGCUACGUGCCCAUGUGCAAUGGAAAGCUACAACUUGCCAUAGAUGAUGCUCAUGUUCCACACACUACAACAGAAGUAGGUUAUAGGGACACAUAUUUGAAACAUUUUUAAGUAAAUAUUUUAUUUAUGCUAAAACUUAAAAAAACAUCUACUUAUGCCUAAAUAUAAAGCCCAAUUCAAUCAAAAAUAAAAGAUUACUCUACUCAACCCAUCACACCCAGUCCAUUUGACCCGAUUACAAACAGAAAAAAAAAAAGAAAGAAAAAUCAAUUACCUUAUUUUCUUCUCUCUUCACUCAAUCCACUGAAAUUCUAAACGAAGAGCCUUUGCUGUCGUCCUCCUCCGCCACCGCAGCCAACGAGAUAGAGUUUCGGCGGUUGCUAAAUGCUUAAAUAAGUAUUGGUAAAUUAGCAGCACUCUUUUAGGUUAUAGCGACACUCUUUAACUGUCACUAUAUACCUAGCGACCCCACAUAUAGCAACACUUUUUAAAAGUGUCGGUAAUUUUAGCUAGCAACACUUUUUUGACAUGUACCUACAUUUAAAAGUAUUGCUAUAGAUCAUUUUUGUUGUAGUGACAUCCCAUGUGCACCAUACCUGCACUACAUGAAUCAAAAGCACAUUUUUGCGAAACAUAGCCCAACUUCCUUAGGAUUCAUGAUCAUUGUCAUCUAGCUCCAUUAACUUUUUUCUUCUUUUCAUAAUUCCCAAAAAGUUUAGGCCAACUCCUUUGAUAACUAUAGCUUCAACAAACAUUGAAUGUUUAGAAUAUUAGGUGAGAGUACUCCAUACCUUGUUUGUUUUUGAAGGCACUAAUAAUUCUUGCAAGUUACUUUUUCUCCUUUCCUCUUUUUUUUAAGUGCUUAUAAAGAGAAAGAAGAGAUCCAAAAACAAACAAACUAAAAAGGAAAAGGGAAUCCUACCUCUUAGGUUGCCACCUCAUUGACCAGAGAUAAUUAUCUGUAUACCUCUCAAUAUUUUUAAAAUAUUUUACUUAUCUCUAAUUUUAUUUCGUUUUAAAUAUAACACUUGUAUAUUUUUUUUGUUAUUUAAAAAUACCCUAUUGUUAGUACAUGUUAAGUUUUGGCGGCUUAAAUCCAGUUUAAAUUUAUAUCAUAAUUAAAAAUAAGUCAAAAAUAAUGUUUUUGCUCCUAACCUAAGAGCAAAUAAAAAAAAUUAAUGUCGAUAGAAGAGUAUAUUUAAAAGAGAAGAAGUCCAAAUACUUAUUUUUGUUCAUAACUUAAGGACAAAUAAGAAAAGUUGGUGACGAUAGUAGAUGGAUAUAAUUGAAAGGAUAAAAUAAUAAUUUUACAGAAAUAACGGCUGUUUAUAACAAUUCACUAAUAAAAUAUAACUCUACAAAUAUAUUCGAAAGCACUUGGAACAUUAAAAUGGUAUUAUUAAUAUUAACCUUAUAAACGGAAUAAAUAAGAAAGUCGGAAACUUUUAAAAAGUAUAUAAGCAAUUGUCCCCAUUAACUAUGUAUAGAUAGAUAUCCUUGUUGGCUUAAAUCGGCCAGCAUCCUGCCAUGUGGCGGGAGGCCAUGUGGGCCGAGUCAUGUUCGAAAUGACGUGAGGUUGGAUUAAGUCGAGUCAUGUUCGAAGUGGCGUGAGGUCAGGUGGGCCGAGUCAUAAUCGAGACCCGUGGGCGCUGUUUCUGUACGUUUUAAGUGAAUUAGUUGCGUAUUUCUAACAGUUCGAGCUUUUAGGAUUAAUGGUUAGCGCCAACGAUCGAACAACCCUAACAAUUGAGGAAUUAGGUGGAAUGUUGAGUAUGCUGUAUAUCUCUUGGUUACAUGCAUGCAUUUGUUUUCCACCAACUCUUAACCUCUUUGUGUUGAUUUUUAAUGGAAAUUAACAAGGAUCAAAAGUUUCCAAACUUUUUUAAGUAUAAACAGUUGCAGUUCAAUUGUUCUAAUCUGCAGCUAGCCACAUUAUAUACAAUGCUUAAAAAAUUGUAAAAAGCACCUCGAAACCAAAUUACAUAAAGGGAGUCAAGGAUAGAGUUAUUAAAGCUUCAUAAUCUAGCUUAUGUGUCCUGGAGUUUAUUUUUUUAUUGAUAAUACGAUAAUAGAAUCUAAAUAUGAUAAUGGAACCUAAAUAAAUCUACACCAUACCAUGUGGUCCAACUCAUCAAUGAGAAACUCCUCUUGUCCUAAUCAACUUAAAUAUGAUAGACACUAACUCAUUGGUCGCCAUACGCAACAAUAAGCAAUUAAAGUAAGAGCAAUACUAUCUGUAUAUUUACAAUACAAGAUUAAUUCUUUUUGAGAUUACUAGCUUCUCGUAUUAACAAAUUUUUUUUACCACGGGUUUAACAUAUAAAGUGUGCAUAUUUUUUAAAAUGAUUCGAGAAAGUGCGCGGAGAACCCAAGUAUAUCCUUUCAAUUUACACUUAAAAGGAAAGCUAUAGUACAAAAAUACUAGCUAGGAAUUGGAAAGUUCUUCAAGUUUCUGAUACCUUGGUUUAAACUGUGAUGCAUGUGACAAAGAUGCUAAUUAAUCACAUAACCUUAACCCUAAUAUCAAACAACAUGAGAAAAAAUGGGCCCUAAAUCCCCUCUAAUAAUUGAAGGGUGUCUCAAUGGCCACACCUACAAAUAGUUUAGGUAAAGCGAUGAUUGGGGUCGACAACAUCUCCCCAACAUCUCCCCACUGCAAAUCCACAUUCGCGCCAAUGUGGUGGCGACUAUUAUCUUUUCGAUCUCUAAUAGUGUGACGUGCUUUAUUUAACUGUCUAUGACUCUAAUAAUUUUUUUUUUUUUUUUAAUCCUACUAUCCUAAAUGAAAUGAUAUGUAUAUAUAUAUAUAUAUAUAUAUAUAUAUAUAUAGUUGAGCUAGAAUACUAUCGAUAGCAAACAGGUUCCGUUGCCACCCAUUUGUUUUUUAUGAUGGAGUCUCUAAAUCGACGAUCGGCACCGUUGAACAUGAUCUAUACUACUUGAAGUGUUUAAAAAUCAAAUUUCAUACAAUUUCAACAUUGUUCUCUUAUCCAUCGAGUGGACACAAAAAUGAACGGCUGGAAAUGAAUAUUCUUUAAAAAAUGAUGAAAGGAGUCUUGUAAUCAAGAUCAAGAGUAUAGAUCUUGUUUUAAAUAGUUUAAAGAAUUUUCUAACAAAAAUUUAAUUGAUUUGGAUAUCUUUACGCCGUUAAACGAGAAAAUGUCUCAUAUCGACCAUUAAAAUUACAAAAUUUGAAACCUUUUGAUCAUUAGGCAAAUGAUGUCGAAAAGAUUUCAAAUUUGAUUUCUAAACACUUUAAGUGGUAUAGAUUAUGUUCAACAGUGCCGAUCGUCGAUUUGGGGGCUCUAUCAUCGAAAACAAAUGAGUGACAACGGAGCCCGUUUGCUAUCGAUAGUAUUUUAGCUCAACUAUAGAGAAAGAGAGAGAGAGAGAAAGAGAGAGAGUUCUCUUAAGUGGAUAGAAGUCUUUAUCCUGUCAAGUCAAAUUUGCAUGAUUGAGACUUCAAAUUGAUAAUCAAUACCGUUAAAAUUGACCUACACUAUUAAAAAUAUUUAGAAACCGAAUUUUAUAAUUUUUAAAAAUCAUUAUCAAGUCUAUCGAAGAGUCGAAAAAUGAACGGUCAAAAAUAAAUGACCUCUGAAAACAUAACUUAGACUUUCUUAAUUUGCGAUUGGAGUUAUUAAACAUUAUCUAAAUAAUAUAAAAAAUUUUCUAUCAAAAAUUCAACUGGUUUGAAUUACUCUACACCGUUAAACAAGCAAACGGCUCAUAUAAGCCGUUAAAAACUGUCAAUUUUGCAAUCCUUUGAGCACUAUGUAAAUAAAUUUUAAAAUUUAUAAAAUUUAGUUUCUAGCUAAUUCAAAUACUCUAGAUUAAUUUCAACGGUUCCGAUUAUCGAUUCAGAAUUUCUAUUAUUAAAAACGAUUCGAUAGGACGAAAGUCUUUACUCUCUUAAAUGGAUAGCAGCUGAAUUCUAUAUAUAUAUCUUCAUUUCCUAUGAAAAUACUACUCACCUUUAUCUUGUUUUUUAUCUCCUCCUUUUGCAAUUAUAUGCACAAAGCCAAUUAGUGAUCCAUACUAGUCAUAUAAGACUCUGAUGUGAGAUAAUUAGAGUUUCAUUCAUGCAUGCAACUCUCAGAAUUUGCUAGUCAAAGUUAAACUGUACAUUUACUUAUUAUUCCUAUGGAUUAAAGUAUUUCAAGGCUUAAGUAAACUAUAAAUAUUCAGAACUUCAUUUUGGGACUAAAUAGCUUUGAUAACUAAACACAUUAUUUUACUUCUUGGGCAUCCAUACAUCUAACAAUAAGGGCUUGUUUGCUUAAAGCAUGGAAUUAGAAUGGAUAAUGGAAUGGAAAUGAAUUGAAAUGGUAAUUGGAAUGGCCCACUCUUCCAAGACGUUUGGUUUAUUUGUGGAUUGGAAAUUGAAAUGAGUUAUUCACAUUUCGUUGUUUGGUUCGUAUAAAUUAAAAAAAUUAUAGAAUACUAUAAUACUAAUUUUACUUUCAAAUAUAAAUUUAUAUUAUUUAAAUUUAUGAAAAUAUAAUAUUAUUUUUUAAUAAGUUUUUCAAAAAAAAAUCAAAUUUAUUUUUAAAAACUUUUAUUGAUGUGGGUUAGGGAUAUGGUUUUGAGACAUGAUAGAUUUUUUUUUUUUUUUUGAUGAGAAUGGGUGAAAAGAAGGAGGGUGAGAUGGUUGUAUGGGCUUCGAAAACUUAGUGGGCUUCCAGAAUGAAAUUUCAAUCCGGGAUAGAAGACCGAAAUCAAGUUAAAGGCUAAUGGGACAUUUCCAUUCCAGUUCGUAAUAGGAAUCCCAAAUUGAUUCAUGCGAACCAAAUAAAAUUAACCGAAUUUAAUCAAACCGAUUCUCAUUCCAUACUCAAAAUGGAUGAACAAAACAAGCCCUAAUUAUGACUCCGAGGCGAUUUAUCAAACACCUUCCGUGCACAAUGUUACGAAUAACAAACAAUUUUAACAAUAGUAAACCAUAGCAGCUUUUUUUAUUCCGGAAACAAAUGGAGAUCCAUAUUGUAAUAAAUUAGCAAAAAUAGAUAAAUAAACGAAACUUAAAUCCAUCCACAAAAAAGAUAUACGGCGUGUUGCUCGAUGGAAUUGGGUACGAACCUAUGGAGGAGGCCAUAGGAGGCGAUCGAUGGACGAUGGAGCUGCGCCUCGAGAUUCGUGUCGCGGACGGCGAUGUUGAGGACGCUGAAAUGGACGGUUCGAUCUCGCCGAAGGGAGCCCGCGGCGUCGCCGGCGCCGUAGACGCCCUCGCCAUAAUACCUUCCAUGCGGAGCUCCGCAUGGAAGUUCAAACUAUCGCUAUUGAUAAUGGGCCGGUCCCUGGCCUAUUGGCCUUAAACCCGUUACUGGGCCCAAUUGUGUUGCUUAAUAAAGUUUUUUUUUUUCUUUUUUUCCUCAGAAGAAUCAAAAUUUUUAAUUUUGAAAACUCAUUUUUAACUUUCUAUUACAGUAAAAAAUUCAAAAUUUUCUAUUUGUCAGUAUAAUAAAAUACAUUAUAUAUAUAUAUAUAUAUAUAUAUAUAUAUAUGUGUGUGUGUGUGUGUGUGUGUGUGUGUGAGAGAGUCAAGUUUAAAUAACAUAAGUAUAAUAAUGAACAGUAUUACACUCUUUUUAAACCGUUGAUCUAAAUAUAAUCCAGGGAUCGAGGUAAAGUAAUGGCGACUUUUUUAUUUCUAUGUCAAAAUACUCUUCCCUACUUAAUAGGAUGUGACACCACUUUAAUAGCCUUGGAUUUCACAUUUAUUUACAUAGGAUGUGACACCACUUUAAGGUUUGGUACUCUAACUAUUUACAUUAAUUUUAUGUGCACUUAAAACAUUCGUUUUUUUUUUUUUUUAAGUGUGAAAGCAUAUAAUGAAGUUUAAUAGUAAAAUAUAUUAUAAAGGGGUUAUUGCUAUAAUUGGCCCUUGAACUUUACUUUGUUAAUAAUUUCUUAAAAAUUUUAUUUAUUUUAAUGUGAAUUAUUGCAGUCAAUUAAAUUUUGAAUUUUUUAUAAAAUUAAAUUUCAGUGUAUUAAAAUCAAUUGCAAUCAUCCAAAAGCAUGGAAAGAAAUAAAAUGUUGAUAAUUUUUUUAUCUAAAUAUUGUCAGUUUUUAUAUAAAUUAUUUUGCUGUAAAAAUUUUGCUUAUAUUAAAAAUUAUCAACCAAAGUCAUCUUAGUUAGUAGAGGAAAACUGAUUAUAUAGUGGGUUUACAAUGAAGGGGAAAAAAAAAAAGGAGUGAAACCCAAGGCUACUGUAGUGAUGUCAAAUCCUAUGAAGUAGAGAAGAGUAUUUUAGCAAAGAAACAAAAAAUUGUCUAUUGUUUCAUCUCAAUCUUUGGAUUGUACUUAGAUCUACGGUUCAAAAAGAGUGUAAUACUGUUCAUUGUUACACUUAUGUUAUUUGAACUUGAUUAUAUAUAUAUAUAUAUACAUAUCUUGAAACAAGCGCGAGUAGAUCUAAAUGCCCGGCCCACCUGGACCGGUCAUUUUGGACCGAGACCGGCCCUAAAAUCAGUAUAAGAGUUUCAGCCCAAGUCGGAUCCGGGCCAAACAAAUCUAAUCUGGCCCCGACCCGUGACGGCCUGGUUCUCUAUUUAAUUUUUAUUUUUUUAAUGAACUCAGCUAGAAAUAUGAAGCAGUUAAGCUUCGAAUUUGGAACCUCAGAUACCAGUCAUCAAGUCCUUAGCUAAAUGUGGCUGUGCUAAGUAUGGUUGGGCGCAGCAGCUAUUGUUUCAUUUAGAAAUAAACUUAGCUGGAAAUGUGAAUCAACUAGGAUUCGAAAUUGGAUCUCGGGUACCAACUACCAAGCCCUUUGCCACUUGUUUUAGGGAUGGUCGGUGCGCAGCAGCUAUUGUUACAUAGCCAAACAUCGCAAAAUCCUAUGUAUGUGUAUAUGCAUCUCUCCUGCUGCGUGCUUUUCCCUGAGACUGAAACUCCAAUCAAUCAAAGCACAUGAAACUCUGCAUUGGAUUCUUCCUUAAUUAUUAUCAUCAGGCGUGGAAAGAAGACUAUAACUUUGGCGCAUUUGGACGAUAAAACGUAAUCAUCAUGCACUUGUUUGAUUGAUUAUGGUACAACGGUAUCAUAUUUAUCUGCUACAUAUGGCGUACCGCUGCAACUCUUCAUAGGAUUGUAAUACUUCGUUUCAUCAAACAGGUACACAUUUUUUUCGCCUUUUUUAGAGUUGAUCUUAUGUUCUUUGGUCUGCAUAUGUACUUUGCUUUUACAUGAUUUCUCAACCUCGGAUGAGAAGCUCGAAACGGAGCUCUACGAAUUCUAUUUAUAGUUGCCAACUCAAGAGAUUGUGUGAAAUAUAAACUUCUCUGAUUUAUGUAAUACGAAGUCUUUAAGCUAAAUUCUGCAAUGAUCUAGGAAUAGAUGUCUUAGUUUCCUUCUCGCUAAAAGUAUCCAAACAUAACCGAAUUUUUUGGUUUCGUCGAUGUGUAGUUGAUAAAUGACUUUAUUGGCUUAGUAGAGUUCAGUAGCAUAUAUCAUCAAACUCGACUUACUACAUUAAUUUGAGCCCUUUUUUUAAUUUCUUUGUUAUAUAAGGCUCAAAACAAGAGUCUUUUACUCAUGCUUCCUCAUUUUUUAAGUUCGCCGACAUACUUAUAUAAAGAGAACUAAGCAUGAGAUUCAUCUUGCCCUCUAAAUGCAUACUUACACAGUAGCUUUAUCAGCUAAAUUUCUUUAACAAAAAGCGAAGAUUAUGCAUGUCUUUUACUUUUAGGAACUGCAAAUCUUCAAUCAUCACUACAUGACAUCCUCGAAAGUACGUUGCAAUCUCUCGCAGACAUAUAAAUUCCCUUCUAGUAGUACCAAAUUGAGAUAUCAACCUAAACACCUUACGCUGAAACAAAGGGAAAAUCCAACAUACCCUGCACUUCAUUUCAAGUUGAAGUCGGAGAACGAACCCGAAGGACACGGUUGGAAAAUUUGCAUUUACAGUGAUAAUAUAGAUGGAGCUACACAGGAUUAUGUAACGAAUAAACACCCUGAGAAUUUAUUUCUUACUAGCUCUUCCGACCGUGACGAGGAGUUAGAGGCGGGGAUGUCACUGCUCAAGCAAGUUCCCUCUUGGUAUUCAGCGAAUAUUUCAGUAAACCUUCUCGACAAGCUUAAGGCGGUUCGCUUAUGGCUAUUAGCCUCGGAGCACCGCAACUUUUCGCAAUUGAAGUUAUGCCACAGGUAUGCUUAGAUACAUUGUUUCGUCGCAAUAUUAUUUUAUGCUUCUUAUAAGGUGAGUAAAUGGGCGUUUUAUAGUUGAAAUUUACCUCUAGUUAUUUUUACGUGGCAGGAUUUACUUGCCUAGUGCGACGAACUUGACUCACUAUUUAGCCUUGCAACUCCUUAGUAUCGAGGAGCUGAAUGAAAACCUAUCUUCGGUAGGCCUCCUGUGCUUGAAAUCUUCGUGUUCGUGCAUUCUUCCAAGCAUCAAUUUCGGGAUUCAACAGCUCGAGAAUUUCAUCGAGAGCGACACAAACGUAGAAGAUGUGGAUCGGAGCGAUUGCUCAAUUAGCAUGAUGAGAAAGAGGGUCUCUUCUCAUGCAAUAAAACUAUUUGGGCCAGCUCAUGAAGAAAGGAACUUUAGUAUCAUGGUAACAGUUGGAAGAGAGUCGAUAUCGAAUGAGACACUCAUAUCCAAUCUCCUCAAAGCGGGAGCGAAUGUGUUUCGUAUAAAUUGCGCGCAUGAUGACCCAAAUGUUUGGAGCGAGAUCGUUCGAAAGGUGAAAGCCAAUUCUCAAAUGCUAGAGAAGCCAUGUAGAAUUCUCAUGGACUUGGCUGGUCCGAAGCCAAGGACUGAGCUGCUAAUGAGAGAAACAAAUGUGUUCAUGGCGCCGAAGAUCGAUACCAAAGGUGACAUGAUUCCCUCAGCUCAUUUUUGGAUUUGCUCAAUGGAAUGUAGCUCUCCUCCUCCUCCUCACUUCUCACCAGGUGCAGUUAUUUGUGUGGAUCGCAAGUUAAUCGACGGUCUUAAAGAGGGUGAUUUUGUAAGCAUUCUUGAUGGUAUUGAUAAAAAGAGUUCACUUAGGGUGGUUCUUAAGCGCUCUUUGGGUGCCGACGAUUACGGUUUCAUGGUCGAGUGUUCGAGAGCGACUUGCAUUGGAGUCGGUAGCAAACUAUAUUUCAAGAGGGGAAACAAGAAGCACUCUUUGGGGCAAGUAGUAAAGCUACUUAAAAUCGAGAAGUUCGUCAUUUUGAAAGUUGGCGACUCGCUAACUAUUUCUAGAUUUUGCUGCACAUCGGUGGACGAACCGAAUUGCGCCAUGUUCGAUUCGAACCUUGUGAGGAUAUCAUGCACGUCGGACCAACUUUUCGAUGGAGUGAACCCGGGUGAGCUGAUCGCAUUUGACGACGGGAGAAUAUGGGGCAAAAUUCGGAAAAAGAAAGCAAAUGAGAUCACUGUACUCAUCACUCAUGCUAGUCCAACUGGGUCCAAAUUGGGUUCGGGCAAGUCGAUAAACACGCCAAGAAGCGAGGUUAAGCUCAGGGGAGUAACUCCAAGGGAUCUUGUGGACCUUGAGUUUAUUGCUUCUCAUGCAGAUAUGGUUGGCAUUUCAUUCAUUCGCGAUGUCGAGGAUAUACAAAGCGUUCGACGUGCGCUCGACGAGAAGGGGGCAAAACCGGAGAUCGGAAUUGUACUGAAAAUAGAGACCAAGGAGGCUUAUGAAAGGCUGCCUAUCUUGUUGUUUGAGGCACUCAAGUACUCAAACCCUGUAGGGAUUAUGAUCGCGAGGGGAGAUCUAAUGAUUGAGUGUGGAUGGGAGCAGAUGGCCGAAGUGCAGGAAGGAAUAAUGUCUGUCUGCGCGGCUGCGCACGUGCCGGUCGUCUGGGCGACCCAAGUUCUGGAAACACUAGUCAAGUCAGGGCGCCCUACCAGAGCUGAGAUCACAGAUGCAGCUACUGGAAUGAGGUAACUUAAGUUGCGAACGGGGAAUUUCUAUGUGAUAACCAUUUGUGGGUCGUAUUCUAGUAGAUCGAUCUUUCCUGUAACAUAAUAACAGAACUGAUUUUGUGUUCCUUUUUCAGAUUUAGUUGAUCAAGUUUAGCUUUAAUUCGAAGUUCUUUUUUCUUUCUUUCCUUUCUGUUUUUGUGCAGGUUAAGCUGUGUCAUGUUGAACAAAGGGGAUCAUAUAGCAGAAGCUGUUUGUGCAUUAAAUUCCAUGUUAAGCAACCGUUCAUCAGAGAAGAAGAUUGCAAUGACAAACCCUUUGAUUCCACCUAGUCGCCUCUGAUGCAGCAGUAGGAAUUUAUUCUCCAAACUCUAAAUAGUAUUACAUCUCUGAUCUUCGUACCUUUUAUAUUACUGUUUAAUCAUGCAUUUUGUUGUAUUACACCUUGAUUAAUGGAGAAAACAAUAAUAACUUUUCCCAGUGGUUAUGAAACAAAAAAUAUGAAAAAAAAAAGCUGUGAGUACUAAGACCUUCUCAAGGUCCUCUGGAGAUAACAAUGAAUGAACACUUUACUAACAUUUUACCUGAUUGUUGCGAAUGCUUUAACACAAAACACAGUAAUGGCUUGUUUUAAAAAACCACAAAAGAGAAAAAUAUUCCAGGUCCACACAGCAAUACUCAAUGACUAAUCAAUCAGCAAAAUUUAUCGAUAGCUUCAUCUAUUCUAAACUAAAACAUAAUUUGCUGCCAUAUGCAGAACAAUACUCAAUAAAAUGAACAGGAAAAACAAAGUACCAAUAUAAUGAAAAAUACAAUGUAGCCAGGAAGCUUAUAAAAAGGCCCUCCAAACAGAAUCGUCCAAUAAUGAAUUCUGCAAACCUCACAAAAUAGGUUUUUUUUUCCCACCCUAUAGAUGUUACAAAUAGAUAAUAAUAACCUGUGCUCCGGAAAACAAGCAAAUAACAGCUUAAGACAAACAAGCCUUUCCCUGUUCCGAAUUUAAUCAACUAGAAGUGGCUCCUUUUAAUUUUUAGAUCAUUGGACUCAUAGAAAAGAAAGGGGGAAAAAAAAAGUUCAAACUCCAAUUGUUGAAACACUACCGUCUCGAGUAGUUGUUGCAGCGGUAACUGAAACCAAAACAAACAAGAUAGGAGCGCCCAACUAACUCAAAGCUUCUCCUAUCAACACAGCACAAUCAUCAUCCUUCGCAACCUCCAGCUAAAAGAAGCCUACAGUAAAAUACCAGAACAUUCGUUUAGCAAGUGCGCACUACAUUAACGCUUCACCACACAAAAAAAGACCAUCUCCUUAUUAUGUUUCAGUUUGGUCACCAACCUUUCAAUUGUUGCAAAUGGGUCAGUAGAAGUUGAGAUCUAUUGCAAUAUUAGUCCUCAAUUUGCUUUUAUGCCUUCGUUUUUUGUAUAUUCUUUUAAAACUGUAGCUUUAAUUCCCACUCUAAUUCCCCAGGCAAAUUGGAUGGAAGACAAUUUAAUCACUAUGUGAGAACUGAGAAGUCAAAAAGUUGCUUCAGCGACAAUUAGAUACAAUUACAUGGAUGUCUCUGUCAAAUUUAAUGGAGAAGUUUAACCAAAAUGGAUAACAUUGCAACAAGAUGCCCAAUUUUGAGGCGUCAUGUAAAAGAUCGAAAGGUUGGCGACCAAACUGAAAACAGGCCAGAAGGUUGAGAGGGACAAAUCAGAGUUCCAGAGCAAUUCACGAAAUAAAACAUUGUUUGUUAUUAGAGCUUACCAUUUAGCUGAAGUUGAAACCACCAGAAGGAACAUUAAACUGCUGGCCUGUACUACCGAACAUCGUUUCAGAAGUGUCUCCGGGAGGCAUGGCCUCAUCCUCCUCCUCCAACCAAUACGUUUCAAGAAUCUUCACAGACUUUUCAUAGAUUUCCGUAUUGUCAUGGCUCUGCAAAUUCUCAAUCUUCUCUAAGCCCUCAGCUUCGUCAAUCAUCUGGGCAUAGAGGUUUACUCCGCCAGUGGCACCCAAGUUCUUCUCAGCUUCACCAACCUUUAAAAUGUUCUCCAGUCCUUCUAAACAGACAGUCACGAUUCUCGGAUCAGGACAAACAAGAAGAUCGCACAAGGGUUUGAUGCAACCCUGGCUUACCAGAUAUCUGUAACGAUAAAUUGAAUGACCAUGUGAAAAAAGAGAAGAAUAUUACACUAACGGAAUUGGGAAUUCCAGAAUUGCAAUGGAAAGUAGAAACAUGAAAAUUUAAUUCAACACCUUGUUUUUGUUUUUUUUUUUUUUAUUCCUUUUAAGCUCUAUGUAGUUCCAGGCACCCAAGGAUGACACUUUUGCAAUGGCUGGUAUAUUAGCCACUCUACAUUAUGGGUCUUGUUUUGAUGAUAAAAAUAAAAAAAUAUGAUGAUAUAUUUAUUUCUUUCUUAUAAUAAUAAUAAAUGUCAAUCUGCGAACUACACGAAUUGAAAAACAUAUAAUAAGUCCGUUAUUUUGUGCCUUCUUCAGCUACAUAGAACUUGAGCAAAAGGCAAAACAAAAAAAUUGGAAAAAAAAAAACCAAGCCUAAGCAGCAGAACCAUACUUUAUUUGAUCAUGGGUACCGCCUGAAGUAGCAUUUGAGAUAGCCCAUGCAGCCUCCUUCUUAAUGUCAAACUCUGCAGUCUGAAGCAAAUGUACUAAAGGACCAAUAAUACCAGCAGCAAUUACAGCCUGUCAAUUCAGAUAACCAUAAUAAGUCCAUUUCUUGCGAUUGACAAGUUCCAAAAUAGUAAAAUAAAAUAUUAUGGCAGUCAAUCAGAUUACACCGUUCGUUUAUAAGGCCUUGUCAAUAGCUUUUCAAAAUUUGCACCUAACGUACUUUAGAUAAGAAUAUUGUUACUAGCCUUCCAUCUUCUAUAAGUUCAACAAGCUUUAUUCAUUAAUAAUCAAUGACAUAAAAAUGAGCAUCUAUACUACCAAAGAUCCUUCUAGUUUCCAUACCUGUAUCUGGUCCUUGUUCCCAGCUGUAAUAUUUGAAAUGGUCCAGCAAGCUUCCUUCUUAAUGCUCUUCUUAUGAUUUUGGGCCAAAAGGUUCAGAAGGCAAGGGAGAGCUUGAUGAUCGAUGACGCACUAGAAAAGAAAGGACAAAUUGAGGGUCAUGUAAAGUAAAGUAGCAUUUUCAGCAAGAGUAAAAAAAACAAACCAGAUAAACCAAGCUUUUGAUCUAAUUAAUCAAAGAACAACAAACAACGAUAGAUAAUUAAGGAAUUAACCAGCACAAGGUGCGCUAAAAAUAAAGCUCCUAAUAUAAUGCAGGUGCUACAGAAGAAAGUCACUGCAACAUAAGAAAAAUCCCAAAAGGGUCACAAGUAUAAAGAAUAGCUGUACUUGUGUUUGCACAUCAUCUCCAGUUACAAUGUUCCCUACAGUCCGAAGAGCAGGUAUAAGCACUGAAGGUGAAGGAUGCCUACACAAAGCAUCAAAUCAGACAUAAUAAAAAGGCAGAUAUAUAAAUAUAUAUAUAUAAAUAUAUAUAUAUAUAUAUAUAUAUAUAUAUAUAUAUAUAUAUAUGGAGUAAAUUUGCAGAGGACGAAAACAUAGAAUUAACUCCAGAAGGGGAAGAAUUUAAUACAGAAGAAGUUCAACAAGUCGGGGACAGACGCCUGCUUCGAUAACAGCUUGGAUUUUAUCAUUAGUACCAUCAGACAGAUAUGAGAGUGCCCAGCAGGCAUCGGUGAGAACCUCCUCGUCGUUAGAAUGAAUCAGUUGCGCAAGAGCUGGAAGAGCAGGUUUUGUCUGCUCAAGCCAUAUAGCAUUGUAUAUGAGAAUGAAUAGCACUGCAGUCUAGCAUGGUAACAAACUUAGGAUGAAAAGCCGAAAGCCCAAAACCUGCUCGAAAGAUGGUUGAGGCUUUCCCCUGCAAAAGUUAGAUAGAGUCCAUGUGGCAUUUCUCAGCAUAGAGAGCUUAGCAUGCUCAUUCAACUGCGCCAACAGAGGCAUCAAUGCACCAUUGGUGAGGACAAGGUCACGGCAUCUAGGGGAAUCGCCGGCAACAUUACCCAAUGCCCACACGGCCUUCAAUUCAGAUUUAAACAGGAAAUUAGUAGAAGUUUUAUAUAUAUAUAUAUAUAUAUAUAUAUAUAUAUAUAUAUAUAUAUAUAUAUAUAUAUAUAUAUAUAUAUAUAUGGUAGACACAGAAGAAGUUUAUCUGUCUACUUGCACACCAUUGUAAAAAUUAAUUUCAAAAACUAGACUUUUAUAUAUGCCUCAGAAAAAUCUGUCUUUUACAUAAAUGCCGCUUUAUAAAAACUUUAACUAGUUCAAAACCAACUACGCUUUGAAUGAAUUGGUUGACUUCCAAGUUUGCGGUAGAGGCAUUUUUGUUUUAUAUAUAUAUAUAUAUAUAUAUAGAGAGAGAGAGAGAGAGAGAGAGAGAGAGAGAGAGAGAGAGAGAGAGUACGGCUACUAUACUCUUAUGAGUCCAAUCGCCUUCGUACUUGUAAGUCGUUUUCAAUGAUAUAGCUUCUGAAUCGACGAUCUAUACCGUUAAACAUUAUCUAGAGCAUUUAAAACUUCUACAAAUCAAAUUUUAUAAAUUUUUGAUAUCAUUUACCUUACAAUCAAAAAAGAUGAAAAUUGAUAAUUUUUAACGGCCAAUAUGAGAUACUUGCUAGUUUAACGGUAUAAAAGAAUCGGAAUCGGUUGAAUUUUUUUGAUAGAAAAUUCUAUUCACUAUCUAGAUAAAGAUCAACAACUCCAAUCUUAAAUUGAAGGAUCCGAUCAUCCAUUUUUAGGACGUCGUUCGAUUUUGACAGUUUAUAUUAUACCCGCUUGAUGGACUUUAUUAAGAUUUCAAAAAAUUAUGAAAUUUAUUUUUUAGAAGUUUCAAAUACUUUAGAUCACAUUUAAAGAAAUGGAUCAUCGAUUGAGAAGCUCCAUCAUUGAAAACAGCUUAUAAGUAUGAAGGGCUCUAUACUCAUAAGAGUAUAGUAGCCCUACUCUCUCUCUCUCUCUCUCUCUCUCUCUAUAUAUAUAUAUAUAUAUAUAUAUAUAACUUUGAGAGAUACAGUAUUUAGAAUUUUAUAGGGGAUGCAUAUGUAAACAGUUUCAGGGUGCAAAAACAAAAAACCCUUGGGGCAUGUAUGUAAUUCCAAAUUUGGCCAUGGUACACAUAUAGAGUAAUCUGAUUAAGUAAGAAUGCUCUACUUUAAAGAUUUACCAUUCAAUGAGGUAUAUGUACCUGCUCGCGGACAUCAUCACUGGGAGAACCAAGAAGCUUUACAAAUAUAGGCACAGCACCAUGAUCUAUUACAACUUUUGUGUUUUCUGAAGUUCCUGAUGCAAUAUUAGUAAGAGCCCACGCAGCUUCAAACUGUCCAAACAAUUAAAUGAGGAAAAGAUGGUGGUAAGGUUAGAUCAAGUAUACAUGCAGAAUAAGAAAUAGCGAACAUUAAAUAUAGCUAUAUUGGAAUAUUCAGAAUACAGACCUGAAGUUGGGGGAAGUCCUCCCUUGUAAGGAACUGCACAAAGCGAGGAACAACACCGGAUUGGAUAACUUCCUCGAUCGGAGGGCUCCGCUCUGAUUGAAAUUCAAUUAAAUCCAAUUCAUGCAAUAUUAUAUUGGUGAAUCAGUAGCAUAAGAAAAUACAAAUCAGAUCAGAUCAAAUACCAAUUGAGAGUAACUUUCGAAAUUGCGUAGUCGCUUCAAGCUGCAAAUUGCUAUCAUCAGAAUAAACCCCCGCCACCAUUGCCGGCAAGCUUUCCAGCUGCAGUCCACCACACCAACAAUAAAUACAAGGGGAAGAGGACUACACUCUCAUCAAAGCUCUAGUCAUCAUUUAUCUAAGGGAUUACCAGUACUACUAAAGCUGAAAAGCUACUCCAAAAAGCACUGAAAAGCAUAAAUAAGUUAAUCAUAGCACUGCACGGUGAUCAUGAGGAAAUUGGAAGAGAUAAUUGGUAUAUUAACAUAAAUUGAAUGCAUUAUAAUCAAAUCAUUCGAGUAUGCAGUUGUCGACAGUUAACUCCUAACCUAGAAGUGAUCAGGUCUCACAACGAUCCAAAAUCAAUUUCCACAAUAGGAAAUAUAAGAAAUUGAUAUGAUUAUACAAGCCCAAAACCCUAGAGAUCUGGUCCCAGCAUCCCAUCUCAGCAUUAGGAACCCUAAGGGGAUCGAUCGACGCACCUUUUUCUCGACGGCGGAGGCGGGGACGGAGGCGGGAAGGGCCUGGGCCUGCAUGCCCUCGCGGCGCUUCUUCUGGAGGUUCUCCUCCCUCCGAUUCUUCCGGAUCUCCACCAUGUUGUCCUCGCGCCGCCGCCGCCCCUCCUCCGCGUCCACCGCCACUUUGUACUUGUUGCGGCGAACCUCCGCCCUCGCGCUCGGCCGCAGCGACAUGGCUCCGAGCUCCCCCGAGAGAGCGAGAGCGAGAGAGAGGAGAUCGCGACAAAACCCUAGGAGCGAGGGGGUUGAGGAGAAACCUUAGCUACCCUUGGAGGAGACAGAGUGGGAAUGGGCGAAAGGAGGGGCUUUUAUUUUCCUCUGUUCGAAUACACAAUAUAGAGACGAUCAGAAGGGGCUAUACCACUAUUUCAAAUUGCGAACUUAAAUGAGGUGAAAUUUGUAAAAAUGGAGAAUAAAGUUACGUGCACGACGAAUCGGACGACCAAGAAAAGACCACGUGGAUCAAAUUGCUUCUUGUUCCCGUGGGUCCCAUUGGGGUCGGUUGGCUCAUGACUGUACUAAAAGUUUUUUUUUUUUUUUUAUAAGAAAGAAAACAUACAUUUGAAAUGUUUUUUUUAAUAAAUAAACGUAGUUGGAAUUAUAAAGCAAUUUAAAUUGGAGCAUGCCAUUUCGAAGGCCAUCAAAAAGAAAAUACACUAUCUAUUUUAUAUUUAGAAAAAUUAAUUUAAAUUAUAAAAUAAUUAGACUUCGAAUUUAGAAUCACAAGUAUUAAUAAAAAUAUUUUUUAUCACUUGUGCUUGUAAACUUAGAUUAAUAUAUUAUCGUUUAGCUAAAAGAUUAAUUAUUAUAUAUAUAUAUAUAUUUUUAGAGAGAAAAAUAGUAAAUUACAAGCUUCGUUCGAACUUUUUUAAUCAAAAAUAAUUUGGCUAAAAAUAUAAAUAAACUAAGUUUCAAAUUAGGAACACAGUUAUUGUACUUUUAGAUUGCUAUAGUAUUAUUAAAAAAAACAAUAUCAAUAUGUACUUAGCAGCAACAAAAUUAGAGCGUAUGAAUAACAUUGCACUCUUAGCAAUCUCUAUAUUAUAAUUUAAAAUUAAUUUUAUUUGCUACCUUAUAGUAUUAUUUUAAACAAUUUUAUUAAAUUAAUAUUUUUUCGCCAAUUUCUAUACUAUUGCCAUCAAAUUUACUAUUUCAAAGAGGAGUUAAUUCAUUUUUUUAGAGUUACCUAUUAUUAGUAAAAAAAAAAAAGAAAAAGAAAAAUGAACUUUGGUGAUAGAUUUUGAAAGCUCUUAUCAAAUCAUCUUAAGUUUUACUCUCAAAUGCAAGUGGUAAUAGAUUUGAUGGUUAGUAUUCCAAAUUUUAAGUUCAAAAUCAAAUGGCUUAAUAUUUCCAACUAAGAUCAAAUUAUUUUAUAAAUAUAGACGAAAUAUAUGUUCUGCUAUUUUUAAAUAGUACUUUCAAACGAAAUUUUUACCUUCAUUUUACAAAUAUAGGUUAUUAUUAUUUAUAGUGCAGAAAUUGACAAAAAAAUAAUAAUUUAAGGAUUUGAUAAAAUAAAAUGUAUACUGUAAAAAUAAAAAAGAAUUCUUAAGUAGUGUAAGGCAUAGUGUAUUAUAAGCUAAUUUUUAUCUAUCGGAUCGUAAGAAAUUUUAAAACUGAAAUUUGAACCCUCCAUAUCUCAAAUUAUAACCAACUAAAUUUGUUAAUUAGCGUAUUGUAUAAGAAUUAUUCAGAAGCUCGUAAUAGAAUUAGACCGUCAUUAAACUAACUAGACCGCUAUUAAACCGGACCUAAAGGCAACGUCAUCUGAACCGGUUAAAAAGUCUAACUUAUUUAACCCGGUCGGCAUUGAACCGGACCAAAACCCGACCUUUUCUCCCUUCGAUCUAACGCAACCCCUCUCUCUCUCUCUCUCUCUCUCUCUCCUUCCUUCUCCUCUAAAACGACUAAACCACACUCUCUCCCCUCUCUUCUCCCUCGUUCUCCGCGAGCUCGUUCGCUCGCUCUCGAGAGCGCGAGCGAGCGCGGCGAUGAUGAAGGCAACAACCCACCACUUCCCCGACAUGGGGAAGAAGGCGAAAGGUACAAAGAUCUCUCUUUUCCUACCAAUCCCUCGUCUCUUUCUUCUUCGAGCAAUUUUCCCUAUUUUUUCCGCAAAUUUUUUGGCUAAUUUUUGGUCCAUUUCGCUUUGAUUUAGAUCUUUUAGCGAAGGAUUAUAGCUUCGAUCAGAAGUUCAACAUCUCAGCCUACAGCGCCGCGGGAGCAGUAAUCCUCUAUCGCUUCUUCUUCUUCUUCUUCUUCUCGUUCUUUUCUUGGUAUCUUUAUCUUUGGUUUCCGAUCUUUUAAGUUUCUUGGGCCAAGAAUCGUCGAGUAAUUUGAGAUGCUAGUUUCUUUUCUUUAAUUCUUUGGUCGUGGGUUGAUUUGGCCCAAAUGUUCCUCUAUCGUAGCAUCGUGUUAGGGUCUCGCUAUUGUUUUGGAUGUGUAUUGUAGAUUUAGUGUUGAGUUCCCUGCGAGAGCUGCUGUUGUCAAUAGCUGCUUCUUUCAAGAAUUGCGUUUUUAUGGUUUUUUUUUUUGCCCCCUUUCUGUUUCUUGAUCUCAAAUCUGCUUUUAGGAUGUUAGGAAGGAGAAAAAGGACUUAAAACUUUCUUGCAUGCUGUGUGCUGUGGAGAAAUGCUAGCUAUUUCUUUUUUAUGUAUUUUUGGUUUAGAACAUGGGGUAUUCCUCUUCAGUUUUUCUGAUAUCAUUUUGAUGUUAUUCUGUUGGAUAGGAUGUUAUUGCAUCUGCUUUAAGAAAACAUGUUGAGGAGGAAGCUCGUGAUCUUAGUGGCGAAGCCUUUUCUCGAUUCAUGGAUCAGCUGUAUGAUCAGAUCUCUAGCCUUUUAGAGAGCAACGAGGUUGCUGAUAAUUUGCUGGCUCUUCGCGCCAUUGAUGCGCUAAUUGAUGUUUCCUUUGGGGAAAGUGCUUCCAAGGUUUCAAAAUUUUCUGCCUACCUGCGGAAUGUAUUUGAACUAAAGCGCGAUCCUGAAAUCUUAGUUCUUGCGAGUACUGUUCUGGGCCAUCUUGCGAGAGCUGGGGGGGCAAUGACCGCUGAUGAAGUGGAGCGUCAGGUGUGCACUUAUUCCUUCCUUUUCGAGUGUGUAGUUUAGCUGUGUUUUAUUAACUUUCCGUGUUCUCAGAUUAAAAAUGCAUUGGAGUGGCUUCGCGGGGAGAGAGUUGAGUUUCGCCGUUUUGCGGCUGUACUUAUCCUCAAAGUAUGUACUACAACUUUUUUGCUGAAAAAAAAAGUGUUCUUUAGUCUUCUUUUUUCUCUUGACUUUUCCUGUGAGAGGGUCAUCAUAUCUCUAAACAUUAACACUUAUUAUGAUUUUCUGGUUAUAUUCUUAAGAUUAGUGAAAAUUAUUUUUCUUAUAUACUGCACUGGACCUAUUGAAGCAUAUAUUGUCUGCAUGAAUAUUCCUAGCCUUAUGCAUGCUUGCUAUUAUCAUGCCGUACUACUGAGUUGUCAAGUUGCAGAUUCUGCUUUUAUUUAUUGACUCGUUUUUUGCAUCUUGAGGGACCAAAAAUGAUCUAUUAUUGCAUCAUGUAACUUCUGUUUUUUUGUAAGUUCUUGACAAUAACUAUUAUCUCCUUUGAACUUUUGGAGAUUUACACAUUCUUUCUGUAAUGAAAGUUCACUCACUAUUAUAUAUACUGGAUGAUGGUUUUUCCUUCAUGUUGUUUGUAUCUGUGCUUCACUGGAACUUUGAUGUUAUUUUGGUUUCUCUUAGGAAAUGGCUGAAAAUGCAUCCACGGUUUUCAAUGUUCACGUACCCGAGUUUGUGGACGCCAUAUGGGCAGCAUUAAGGGAUCCCACUUUGGCUGUCCGUGAAAAGGCUGUGGAAGCUUUGCGGGCUUGCUUACGUGUUAUUGAGAAGCGUGAGACACGGUGGAGAGUGCAGUGGUAUGAUCUACCGCUUUGCAACUUGAUCUCACAAGCCACAAAAGCAGUAUUCAUUACAUGUAUCUACUUAUAUAUCACCUUUUAGUGUUUCGUAUUCCGGCUACCUGUUGUAUAAGAAAGGUGCAGUGUUUGCUGACAUCUGAGUACAAUUUAGUAUUAUAGCUCAGUGUUAGUAUUAUUGUUGUAGAUAUUUGCAUUCAAAAGUUGAUUAAAAUCUAAGUUUUUAGAUGUAAGUCAUCAUUCAAUCACCAGUGCUGUAAGCUUAAUCUUCAUUUUAUUUUUUCUAUUCUAGAUAUGUUUUGUCAUGCUGUGGACUAGUGUUUGUUGACCUUUCAGGCUGCUAGAUCUGUUUGUUCACCAUUAUGUAUCUCUUGAUGACAUGGAUGAGCCACCUUUUCUGAUAAAAAUUUGUGUUUCUGUUUAAAUUAGCACUUUUAUUAAUGUAAGAAGAUUUUUUUCUACUUGUACAAACUGUUUUUAAGGACCAGAGAUUGAUCUAUUUAACUUUGUUGGUUUCUCCUAUAGCCUAUUGAGUAGUUUUUUUGUUUUUUAAUUGCUGCUCAAUUUUAUGCAUUGGAGUUUAUGGCAAGAUUUGCUGGUAGUGCGAUGGGGAAGGAAACUUCUUAAAUGAUUAUGCUGUUGAAGCUCAAUGUGAUAAAAGAGAGCUUUUUAAUAUGUAAAAGCUUAUUCCAGUAGGAUAUAAAGAUUCGAAUAUUUGAAAAGGGCAUGAUGUGCUAUUGUAUUUUUUUUUCCUCGUAUUGCUUAUUCUUAUUUAUGUAUUAUAUUUAAUAUUUUCUCUCGCCUUCAUUGGUAACUGAAAAGGUGACUAUAUAUUUUGCUACAAUCUCUUUCUUAGUGCAUAUCUUCAUUGCUGCUGAUAUUUUGCUACUAUAGGUACUACCGAAUGUGUGAAGCAGCGCAAGUUGGACUUGGUAAGAAUGCUUCAGUUCAUAGCAUUCAUGGCUCGCUGCUUGCUGUGGGAGAACUUUUGAGGUACUUUACUAAAUCACAAUCAUAGUUGAGUUGCUGAGUUCUUUUUGGUGGUGGGGGNCGCGCGUUAGGGUUUUCUUCCUUUUUUUUUUUUUUUUUUUUUUUUUUUUGGGGGGGGGGGGGGGGGGUGUUGAUGUUAUUGAUCUUAACAUCAGCUUUUUCAAGUUGUCAUAAAGAUAAUGUGUGUUAUGGCUCUUAUCAUCAUCUUUAAAGCUUCUAUAAAGUGAUGACAUGCAUGUGGCUGGUGCCAUCCGAUGUAUAAUGAACCUCUAAACUAUUUUUUUUGAUCCUCAACUUGACUAAGAUCUGUUUUGUCUUAAAUGAAAUGCAGAAAAGUGGAUUUACCUCUUUUGGUUGAACUGCUGCUUUCAUUUUCUUAACAAUGGAACCCUAAUGAAAAUUUCUUCACUUUGCAUUUCUCAUAAUUUACUUUCAUAUUUUCUGUCAUUAAUUUUGCAAUUUCACUCUGGAAUCACCAUUUAACGGACUUUUCUCCUUUAGGAACACAGGCGAGUUUAUGAUGUCCAGGUACAGAGAGGUGGCAGAUAUUGUUCUUAAAUACCUUGAGCACCGUGAUAGACUUGUCCGUCUCAGUAUAACAUCAUUGCUUCCCCGUAUUGCUCACUUCUUGCGUGACCGAUUUGUGACGAACUAUUUGAAGGUAGGUACAACUUUUUUUUGUCUGUGUCAUCUUACAAAUUCCGAGUCACAAGACUGCAAGUUCUUAUUUAUUUUUUCAUCCCCAAGUCCUAGAAUGUUCAUCUAGUAAUUUAAUGAGCUCUUUCAUUGCACCUCCAUUUACAUGUUUUGGUGUCACAGAUAUGCAUGGAUCAUAUACUGGCAGUUUUACGUACACCAGCUGAACGUGCCAGUGGGUUUAUUGCUCUUGGAGAGAUGGCGGGAGCACUGGAUGGCGAACUCAUCCCCUAUUUGCCAACAAUUACUCCUCACUUGCGUGAUGCUGUAUGUUAGUUCAUUUUUCCCUUCCUUCUCUUUGUUUGGUGCAUCUGCUGUGUUUUCAAUUUGACACUAUGUACCAUGUUCGCAGAUUGCUCCUCGUAGGGGAAGGCCAUCAGUUGAGGCCAUUGCUUGUGUAGGAAGUUUCGCAAAUGCCAUGGGUCCUGCUAUGGAACCUCAUGUCCGUAGCCUUCUAGAUUCAAUGUUUGCUGCUGGUCUUUCGGAUGCCCUUGUACAGGCUCUUGAGCAGAUAACAUUAAGGUAGUUGUGUGCACUUUUCCACAUUAUUGAAUUUCACCAAGUUAAGAUCUAAGCCAAUUUAUUUAUGUGUCGCUUUCAGCAUCCCAUCAUUACUAACAACAGUACAAGAUCGUUUGCUGGACUCUAUUUCACUGGCACUUUCAAAAGCUUAUCCACUAGCAAAGACAGGUGUUUCUGCUGUUCGAGCAAGUACGCUGAAUAACACCCAACAGCUUUCAGAUAUUAGUGGACCAGCCCUUGUGCAGCUUGCUUUGCGAACCCUAGCUCGAUUUAAUUUUAAGGUUCCCUUUGUGUACCUUUUACCUUCCUUGAAUAUGCUUAUUUUUUCCUUCAGAUGAAACCUGUAACUUUGUCUUUUUCAGGGCCAUGAGCUUCUGGAGUUUGCUAGAGAAUGUGUUGUUGUUUAUUUGGAGGAUGAGGAUGGUAAUACAAGGAAAGAAGCUGCAAUAUGCUGUUGCAGAUUAGUUGCGAACUCCUUUUCUGCAGUUCCUUGUCCACCAUUCACUUCAAGUAGAUCAAGUCGGAUUGGUGGAGCAAAAAGACGUCGCCUUAUAGAAGAGGUUACUUAAAUUAUUUUAUUUUUAUAUUAAUGCAUGUAUAUAUGAGGUUAUUGCUAUGUUUUGUUUUUAGAUCUUUGCUGUCCUUUGAUGAUUGACAAAUGGAUGAUGUUGCAUUUGCCAAAGCUGUUGGAGAACUGAUUAUUUUAUUCCAGAAUAUAUUAUGCUACCUUCCUCUUAUGGUUUUGUACUUCAGAUAGGAUCUUCAGAUUGAAUUUAACUAAAGGCACAUUCCUGAGACAUGGAAACCGAUACCACUAGCAGCCUGUUCUCUGCAAAAGACUUUCAACUAGCGAAACAUUUAAUUGUAUUCAUCGAAUUAUUUGUCAGAUGAAGAUAGGAUGCUGUACAUUGAACUUAUACUGAAUGUUUCCCUUCAUUUUACUCUGGCAAUUGGAUGAAUGUUUCCCUUCAUUUUAGUCUGGCAAUUGGAUGAUAGGAAAUACUAAAUUGAGCACUAUUAGGAAAGAGAAGUUGAAGCACGGAAGACCAUAAGUUUUCUUUGUUACUAAGGGCGUGUAUGGUUUGAAGGAUUUGAGGUUUGGAAUGGGAAUCAAAAUGGUCAAUUCGUAUUCUUGGUAUUUGGUUUGAGGGAUUGGCAUUCCAAUUCCCAUUCUGGGGAAGAUCGAAUCCCCCCAAAAGGAUUCCCAUCAUGGAGGUGGGAAUCCACUUUGAUUCCCGAAGAGAUUGAAUUAAAAACUACUUUUUUGCACUAACAAUUUGUUAAAUUCAAAUUUUAAUCUGUAUUUAAUUUUAGAAUAAAUUAGAAUUUAAAAUUUGAAUUAUCGAUUCAAAAAUCAAUUUUAUAAUUUCUUAAGCUCAAAUUUAAAUUCUAAUAUCAGUUUGCAAUUUGAAUUUAGUUCUAAAUUUAAAAUUUGAAUUUGAACGUGAAUUUAAAUUGCAAAUUUAAAUUUUAAGUUUGAAUUGUGUGUUUAAAUUUUGAUUCAAAUUUCGAUUAUGAAUUUGGAAAGUAAAUUAAGAUCUUAAUUAAGCUUUAAAUUUUUUUAAUUUCAAUUUGAACAUAAUUCCCAUUCCGAUUCCUCUUACGAACUAAACAAAGAAGGAAUUUUGAUUAUUCCGUAAUUAUUGCAAUCAUCAUUAUUGCUUAUGGGAUGCAUUUUGAAGCUAUUAAUGUGUAAUAUUUGUGCAAUGUGUGUAUCCAUUUCUGGCAAUUACUGUAAACAAUGUUCCUCCAAUGCUAUCCAUACACUUGUGUCAAGCAAAUGAAAUUGCUCUUUAUAUACAUGCAAAUGUUCUGUUCACUUGUAUAUCUUUAGUGUGUGCUAAUGUUGGCAAGUUUUGGCAUAUUAUGUGUAGUGCUUAUUGCAAUCCUUUGAUGACAUAUUUAUUCUGCUGAGUUCUUAAUCUUUGUAUCCACAAUAUGCCAGCCAUGAGGAUCCUUGUAGUUUUUUCCCCUUGAGGAGUUAUAAUCAUUAUGCCUGUUAAUUUCUUCUCUGCAGAUAGUACAAAAACUUCUUAUUGCUGCAGUUGCAGAUGCUCAUGUGGGUGUCCGGAAGUCAAUAUUUGAGUCUCUUAAUGAGAAUCCUGCUUUCGAUGAAUUCUUGGCACAGGCCGAUAGUUUGACUUCAAUUUUUGUUGCCUUAAAUGAUGAGGUACUAUUUUGCGUCUGUACUAAGAUGUAUUAUAACUGGGUUAUAUUGAAAACUUGCGAAUUCCCAGGUUAACUGCUGGAUAAUUUGGAUGGACUCGAGCAACUACACUAAGAUUCUUUUUAUUUUUGUCGUUUAGUAGAAUAAAAAGGAUAAUUUUUCUCCCCUCGCCUUGUCUCAUUGUUCAUUUUACUCUACUUUUUAGGACAUUGAUGUCCGAGUAUUAGCAAUAUCGGUUACUGGGAGAUUAUCUGAAAAGAAUCCCGCAUAUGUGCUCCCAGCACUUCGUCGCCAUCUCAUACAACUGCUCACAUAUCUGGAUAGGAGGUGAGGGAAAUGACAUUAUUGUUUAUUUUAUAAUAUAGUUGUAUGCUAUAUCUUAAUCCUUCUUUUGAUGUUAAGUUCAGUUGUUAUAUAUAAAUAUAUUUUCCUCUCAUUUGCAGUAUGGAUAGCAAGUGUAGAGAAGAAAGUGCUAGACUAUUGGGCUGCUUGAUACGAAAUUGCGGACGAUUGAUACUUCCAUAUAUUGCCCCAAUUCAUAAGGUUUAGUUCUUUGCACAAUGUCUUUGUCCACUGGCUGUGGGGAUUGUGUUAGCUUAUUUUAUGGUUCUAUGUUUCAGACACUCGUUGCGAGACUAUGUGAUGGCACUGGAGUUAAUGCUAAUAAUGCUGUUGUUACUGGAGUUCUUUCUACUGUGGGGGAACUUGCCAAAGUGGUAGGCUAUACUGCUAUCUCUGGAUCAUGUUGCUCUAGAUUUUUUUUUUCAAAAAAUCUGCACAUCAUCUAAGGAUUCUAAGCAUUUGCAGAGAUUUAUAUUGAUUUUCUUACUUUUUUUGGUUAAAGUUGAUGGUUGCUUGUAUUUCUAUUUUGCUAUUGAAUCAAAGUUUCUUUGUUUCUUCAUUAUUGUGAGUUAUAGUUGUUUGAACCUCUUUAAACUGAGCUGCCAUCUUCAUUAUUCUCUAAGUUUACAUUGAUAAGCUGUCAUCUUAAUCUUUAAGUCUAGUAUGCUGACUGGUACUGUCAUCUUAAUCAUUCAGUCUACUCUGCUGACUGGCUAGAAAAAGUUGACUUUUUGCAUUCAACUGAGCAGCUUUUCAGUCAUUUUUGCAUGACGUAGCAUUUGUUGUCAUCAUCUUCUAAGCUUCUCUUGUGAUGUAAUUGCUGAUUGAUCAACAUGGAGAACUAUGUCUAUCUGACAUCUUAUAAUCAAAAUUUCAUUCUUUAUUUGCAUGAUAUAUAAUCUGGAUGAAAUUUUGAGCGAGUCUUUUCUUGUGCUGUCAAUCUCUUGUUGUAAGUUUUCUUUUAUUAAUUUCUCCUACCAGUGUUCAUUUCCUUGUUUUGGUUUCUUUAGACUAUGUCUCAUAACUAAUUUACCUAGUUGAGAAGGUGAAAAGAACCUUAAAAUUGAUUGUAUCUUUUAAAAUAUGAAACAGGGAGGCUUUGCAAUGAGACGUUAUCUUCCUGAGCUCAUGCCUUUGAUUGUUGAUGCUCUUCUGGAUGGAGCUGCUGCUAAUAAACGGGAAGUUGCGGUGGCAACUCUUGGUCAAGUUGUACAAAGCACAGGGUACACAACUUUUGACAUUGGCAUAUAUUUCAUAUGGUCUAAUUAACAUAUUUGCACUGAAGAUAUCAAGAAUCAGAGGGAAAAAAUGAAUGUAUUUUACCCGACAAGACAAUUCUUUAAAAUUAAGUAGAACACAAGAAAGAGUGUCACUGUUCAAUGUUUUCAACAAUUCUCUAUUUGCAAGCAGGUUAUAUCAGCAUUCAUUUUGGCAUUCAUAUUGUCCAUUUUUAAUUGAUUGCACUGUGAUUUAUAUUUGUCUUCAGCUAUGUUAUUUCUCCAUAUAACGAGUACCCCCUGUUGCUUGGCUUACUCUUGAAACUGUUGAAUGGUGAGUUGGCAUGGUCGACUAGAAGGGAAGUAUUGAAGGUACUUAGUUGUUUAUUGAUGUUAGUAUUAAGAGUCAUGCCAUUGUUUCCUAUUCAGGGCAUAAAUGUUCUUUUGCAGGUUUUAGGGAUUAUGGGUGCUUUAGACCCCCACAUUCAUAAGCGCAAUCAGCAUAGUUUACCUGGAUCACAUGGAGAGGUCACUAAUGCAGCGAGCGAGGUUGGUCAACAUAUUGUCUCUAUGGAAGAGUUACCUACUGAACUCUGGCCAUCAUUUACAGCGUCAGAGGACUACUAUUCUACGGUAAAAGUUUAUGUUGUAUUCAUUCAUUAUUUUUUGUUUUCUUCUUUAUGUUAAUUCCUGUAUUUACUCAUUAUCUUGUAUUCACUCAUAGGUUGCUAUUAAUUCUCUCAUGCGAAUUCUUCGAGACCCUUCGCUUUCAAGCUAUCAUCAGAAGGUGGUGGGUUCUCUUUUGUUCAUAUUUAAGGUAUGGUUCUGUAUUGAUGAAUCAUCCAUUGUAUUAUAUUUUCUUGACACUCAUUUCGCUCUCUAAUCAUUACUUUUAUUCCUUUUUUUUUGUGUUUCUAAACUAGUCAAUGGGCCUUGGCUGUGUUCCAUACUUGCCAAAGGUAAGAUGGUAGUCUGUAUUUUCAAUGUCGUUUUAGAAGAUGUUGUCUUACACUUCCUUGCACCAGUCCCUCCNCCCCCCUCCCCGCCCCUCCCAACUUUCGCUGCAGUAUGUUAUAAUAUAAGCGCUAAAUUCCUUAAAGAAAAGGGUUUAAUGAUUCGUGUCUGGUGUUUUCUUGGUUUGCUGAUGUAUAACUUGCAAUUUCUUGUGGAGUGAGGCAGAAAAAAGUUUUGAAGUCUGGAAGUUGUUUUAGCAGCAAGCUGCAAUUCAUUCAAUAAGUUCUGGCCGCAGAAUCUUGCUCAGAAAUUGUACACUGUUUUUUUGUUUAGGUUCUUCCUGAUCUUUUCAAUGCUGUUCGCAUGUGUGAAGAUGGUGGUUUGAAAGAGUUUAUAACUUGGAAGCUCGGGACGUUGGUAUCUAUUGUAAGACAGGUAUUUAUGGUCCUUUCACCUUUUCUUAAUCUUAUUCUGAAUUUCAUUCUUUGAGUGAGGCCCUAAUAUUGUGCUUGUACAUUCAUGAAGCACAUACGGAAAUAUUUACCAGAGUUGCUCAGAUUGAUCUCUGAUCUGUGGUCUUCAUCAUUCGGUUUGCCUGCAACAAGCCGACAAGUGCCAGGUUCACCUGUAAGUAUGAGUCUUAUAGCCCCUUUUUUGUAUUUAUGUUGGUUCGUGUACUUUUCGACAAGCUAAACACGUUCUAGCCUUAGAGCAACAUGCUCGCUUUUCUCAUAGGUUGGGUGGCAAACCUCUUUUUCCUAGAUUAUCCUGCUAUUCUUGGAAGAUAGUCUCAAUUUUUCACUUCUAUUGAAGGGAACUGUUAUAAUCAUAGGACAUGUAAUAGUUGUAAUGGUAAUUAAGGAUAAGUUACCACAGCAUUGUCCCAAAGGUCUGCUAGAUUGAUACUUCCUUGGUUAUCCUAGCGUUGUUUGACCAUAACAGAUUUCUGCUUUUGUAUUGUGAGUCUUCAAAGCUUUGCAAAAUUAUUUUUCACUUCACUGAACUUUGUAGAAGAUAAGGCUCCGUUGUUUCUACCAAUAUCUGCAAGUUGUUAAUGCUGAUCUGGGGUACUACUAUUCUUUUCUGGGUUCUUGAUAACAAUAUCUUUUCUUUUGCAGGUUCUUCACCUUGUGGAACAACUUUGCUUAGCCUUGAACGAUGAAUUCAGAUCAUACCUGCCGGACAUUCUUCCGUGUUGUAUACAAGUUCUUAAUGAUGCUGAACGCUGCAAUGACUAUAGUCAUGUUCAUGAUGUGUUGCAUACUCUUGAAAUAUUUGGUGGUAUGGGGCCUCGGGUUCUGCUAGCCCAUAGAGAUCUUUUGAUUUUUAACAUUUUCUCUUUUUAUGGUUUUCUGCUUGGUCAAAAGGCUCUGAUGUGAAUGAAGUUCUUGUAGGAACCCUGGAUGAGCAUAUGCAUUUAAUUAUUCCUGCACUCAUUCGAUUAUUCAAAGUGGAGGCUUCUAUCGAUAUAAGACGUCGUGCAAUUAUUACUCUAACUAGACUUAUCCCGCGGGUGCAGGUUGGUUGGUUUUCUGGGAUUAUCUCUCGCAUGUAGUUUGUUGUCUUUUGACCUGUAUAGAAUUGCUGAAUUUCUUUUGUUCCCUCCCUUAUAUUCUUACGAUGGUUCUCAUCCACUCCUUUUCCUCCCUUCAUGAAUUUAGGUCAGCAGUCAUGUUUCUGCUCUUGUGCAUCAUUUGAAAUUAGUCUUGGAUGGGUAAGACUUUAUUAACAGAACUUUCCUUUGGUUGUUCUUUUACAAGAAUGUAUAGUGCUUGACUUUAUUGUGUGAAUAGUUCUAAGCAGUUGGUGGCUUCCUUGUUGUUGGCUUCAAAAUUAGCGUAUGAGCUAUCGCAUGACCUGUAAUGACUUUGUGAAAAUGGAUAUUAGAGCAAUUAAAAAUGGUGGUAGAAUGCCUUUUAAUUUCAUCUCAUAAUGCAUUAGCAUUUUCCCUUUUUUCCCCCCUUAUCAGGAACAAUGAUGAGCUAAGGAAAGAUGCUGCAGAUGCUCUCUGUUGCCUUGCACAUGCUCUUGGGGAGGACUUCACAAUUUUCUUACCAUCUAUUCACAAACUUCUUGUGAAGCACCAUAUGCGGGUCUUUAUUUGGAUUCUCGUUUAUUACUUGAAGAAAUUCUCAAGUUUAUGCAGUUUCUUAGUGAUUUGUCUUCCUAUCUUUAUAACAGCAUAAAGGUUUGGAUGAGAUUGAAAGCCGUCUUCGAAACCGUGAGCCACUAAUCUCAGACAACUUACCUGUCCAAAAAUAUGCGCAAGACCCUCCUUCUGAAGUCAUUAGUGAUCCGCUCAAUGAUUUUGAUAGCGAGCCAUAUGAGGAAGGUGAUGAAGCACACAAGCAACUGAGAAGCCAUCAAGUAAUCUGCUGCUUCUUUCUAAAAUUUUUGUAGCAAAAACAUCUUUAAAAUGAAUGCAUGGAAGUGACUUUCUCGUCCUUGAGCAGAACUUGGUUGCUGCAAUGAAUGUCUUUUAGCUUGUAAUCCAAAAAAUCUGAUCACAAAUCGGCUAGUCUGAACUAUCUCUGCCAAGCAAUUUGAAUUAAUGAGCUAGAUCCUAUAAGUUGUUUGCUCGCUGUUUGUAGUUUCCGGGAAGAAAUGAUUUAACUAAACAUUAAGCUGUAUUUCAAGAAAUUUUAUUCUUUAUUUUGCUCUGUUCCUGUAAGUUUUGCACCUAUAAUUUAAAUUUUCAGCUAUUUGUCAACAAUGCUGGUUAGCUUUUCUUGCUGUCUUCUUUGCCAAUAUAUUUUCUACCUUAAGCCAACCAUUUAGUUUUCUUGUAAAUUUUGAGUUUUUGUUUAACUUUUCUAUUUUAGUCUUGUCUUUUUAUAUAUGUGGAACUAGGGAUGUCAACGGGUCGGAUUCGGGCCAGUUUUUAAAAACCCGAGCUUGAACCCAAUUAUUGAAACUGAAACCCAAAUCCAGACCUGAAACUGUCAAAUUUUGAUUCCAUGAAAAAACCGAACCCAACAAAAAACCAAAACCCGAAACAAAACUGAAAAUCCAAACCCGAGAGCAAUCUUUUCUCUUUAGUGAAAAUCCAUACCCGAACUUGAAUCCGUCGGGUGUUCGUUUUUCUAUACCUAUAGCUGAAACUAUAUCCAUUUAGCAUCUGUUAAACCUUGCCCUGUUUGGGUUCGGGUCUGGGUAAAAUCUCGGAUAUCCAUACCCAUUGAGAUAUCUAUGUAGAGCAUUAGGCAUAUUUACAGAACGCAUUUUGUCAGUGCCAUGUACCGAACUCUGUAUUUUUAUUUGAACUUCCUUCAAUUUGCUUUCGAAAGUCAACCAGAAUUUACAGGAGAAAGUUCUGACAUUUUUGUUGCUUUAUUGUAGGUUAAUGAUGUUCGAUUAAGAACUGCUGGUGAGGCUUCUCAGAGGAGUACGAAGGAAGAUUGGGCCGAGUGGAUGAGACACUUUAGUAUUGAACUUCUUAAAGAGUCACCAUCACCUGCUCUGCGGACUUGUGCAAGGUUGGCACAACUGCAGGUGCUGCAUAUUGUUGCAAUAGUCUUUAGAUUUUCAAAAGUUCAUUAAUCAUCGGCAUAUUUUUGAGUGGUAGAAUUUGACUUAUUCAUCAGCACUUGCAUGCGUCAAAUAAAAUCAUGAAAAUCUAUAUAAUUAGCCGUAUAUUUUUAGAACCAGUCAGGUUUUCUGUAUUCUUCGUUAUUAAGCUUUUAUUAUUAUGUUUUGAACGUUUUUUUACUAUAGUAAUGAAAACACUAUAUAUUUGAGUUUCUAAGAAGUUUCUAAGAAGUUUUACUAUAGAAAUGAAAACACUAUAAGUUUCUAAGAAGUAUUACUUCUACAGAAUGUCAUAUUUGAGUUUUAUUAGUCUAACUACUGAUUUUCUUUUCCAAGUUCAUCAAGAUUAAGCCGAGUGUCAAACAUUUGCAACCUGUCGAAUUUGUCCCAAUUGCUGAACUUGUGACUACCAUGCAGCUGAAUGAUCUUCUAAAAUGGGUUGUGCUUUUACGUGAUUCAUUCUUUUCACAAAAUGUAUACAGCCUUCUGUGGGGCGUGAAUUGUUUGCUGCUGGCUUUGCCAGCUGCUGGGCAGAAAUGAAUGAAGCAUCCCAAGAGCAAUUAGUCAGGAAUCUGAAGACAGCCUUCUCAUCUCAAAAUAUUCCUCCAGAAAUUCUGGCUACUCUACUAAACUUGGUAUUUUUUUUUUCUUUCUUCAAUUUUUUUUUCCUGUUUAUGUGAAUAUUUCAGUAGGUGUUCUCAUACUCUCUGCGGUUGCUAUGCUGACUAGGCGGAGUUUAUGGAACAUUAUGAAAAACCUCUUCCAAUAGAUACCCGACUGCUUGGUGCGCUUGCUGAGAAGGUGCCCCCCCGCUUUUUUUUUUCCUUUCACACAUUGUUGCGCUAUUACCAUAUACUGAUCACUUGAAGCAUUAUAGUAGUGCACCAUAAUUAUGUAACUUUGUUUCUUCAGUGUCGAGCAUUUGCAAAAGCUCUUCACUACAAGGAAAUGGAGUUUGAAGCUGCACGCUCUAAGAAGAUGGGUGCAAAUCCUGUUACUGCGGUGGAGUCCCUUAUUCAUAUAAAUAAUCAGUUACAUCAGCAUGAGGUCAGCUUCUUUGUCGAUGAUAUCUGCUACGUAAUUUCUUACUUGCUUAAGCACAUGAUCAGGCCCUGUUUGGAUGCAUGAAUAUCUUGUUCGGUAUAUCCCUUUAAUUUAUUCAAGAAAUUUGUACAUUUGAUUGAUAAGGAGUGUGAUCAAAUGUUUAGAACAAGAUACUAUAUUUGGCCUUCAAGUAUUUUUUUUGGAUAAGAUUAAGUCACCUUAUAGGUGAAAUAUGCUAUCCCAAAUCAUGGAUAGCAAGACCUUUGAAGGAACAGAUAUGAAACUCCGUAGAAUCAUACUAGAAAAUCCUUAUAUAGAAUAAGUUAUCCUUGGAUAGCUUAUUCCGACAUCCAAACAGGGCCUAAGUGUACAAAAGGAGGGUAACUCAAGCGACCCUCUUAUUUUGUCUAAUACAGCAAUAAAAGCAUAGGACCAGCUUAGAUGGGCUACUAUAGGAAUCAAGGAAGUACUAUUCCAAACAGCGCCUAGAACUGGCUUAUUCUCAUUUUAUUUCCAUUUAUGCUUACACUAAAAUUACGAUUUCUCAAUUCUCAUAAUAAUUAUUCCAGCAAUUAACAUAGUUGGCCUUAACAUUUUUUGGUCAAAUCUGCCUUUUAUGGAAUUUCUAAUGGAUUGCCAUACCAUUUGUUUGGUGCUUCUACAGGCUGCUGUUGGGAUUUUGACGUACUCACAGCAAAAUCUGGAUGUUCAACUAAAGGAAUCUUGGUAUGGUUUGCUCGAAGAUGAUUGUUAAUGAUCUUUGGGAUCAUAUCUAUAAUACAUAUAGCCGUUUCUCUCAAAUAUAAGAAGAUGACCAAAGAACUAACUGGAUAUGUUUACUUUACAUGUUCUUUCCUUUUUUUUUUGAAGGUAUGAAAAACUGCAGCGAUGGGAUGAAGCACUCAAGGCAUACACAAUAAAAGCUUAUCAAGCAUCUAGUCCACUUCAAAAUUUAGAUGCUACGCUAGGUUGGUGUUGAAUGGUUGCUAAAUAACAAUGUUUAGGCAUUUUAGGUUGCUAACAUAUUCUUUGCUACGUUUAGAGCCUCAUGCAUCGCAUUUUGUUGCAUUUGAAAAUUUUUAUUAUGUACUUAUAGUAAUGGAAUUGACUUAAUCAUCAGAUUAUAAGCUCAUUCCAUACUGGGCCAGACUGGAAUAGGGUUGUGCAUGUUCUUACUAUAAAUCUUAUGUUGUAUGGUAAUAACCUUUAAGAUAGUAGUAUGGGAAGUAACUCUACUACCAAAGGUAUUUAAUAAGCAGGUUUAGGACAAGCGGGUGAACUCCAAUUAUCUAGCAAUCAAGAAUCACUUUUUUGCCAUCAUGGAUCAUUUCAUUAUUAAAAUUUCUUUCACUUUGGAUUGGUUGUUUACACAAAUGAAAUGACAAAAGAAGUGGUUCAGCAUUGAAAUGAAGCUGGAUUGCUACGGCAGCUUCGUGACUAAAAUAUACUAGCGAUAAUUUUAAGAUGUUUUGUUCAUGACCAAUGGAAACCUCGUGUGCAUCAAUUAGGAAAGAGAAUAUUUACUCAAAGAAACCUCAAAAGUAUAUUUGAUGAUAUCUCUGACUAAUGACAUGAUGAGUUUUUUGAUGAAGCAAUAGCACAUAGUAAAGUCGGCAGUUAAAAACAGUUUUAUCUACAUGACUCACAUAAGUGGUUCAGAAGACUUUGUUCUUUGUCUAACCUCCCUUGUAAUGUUUUACCUAGAUUGAUUAUUUACCAUAUUGGACGAUUUAAUCCCUUUUGCUUUCCUAAUGGUUUUGUAAAUGUGUAUAUUUCCUAAAAAUUGUUAUGUUCGUAGUACAACAAGGUUUUCUGUAGCUAGUCAGAUUCCUAUAUUCUUUCAAUUAAUUAUGUCUUUAUUAUAGCCAGUCAAAUUACAUGGUUCAAUAAUGUGCUACCCACUUGUUAUGUGUUUAUUUCCAGGACGAAUGCGGUGCCUUGCCGCCUUAGCUCGUUGGGAAGAGCUUAGUGCUCUAUGCAGAGAGCAAUGGACUGCUGCCGAGCCAGCAGCUCGGUUGGAAAUGGCUCCUAUGGUUUGUGAUGCUGCAUAAAAUUUCUAGAUACUUAUUUAAUAUCAGAAAAUGCUAGGUGUACACCCCAGAAGGGGGUGUAUAUUUACACCCCUCUGUCCUAGAGUUCACAAAGCCCUUGGGGGUUUCAAUAUUUUUUUUAAAAAAGUUGACAAGACAAGAGGCUAAUAAUAGUCCUUGGAUGGAGGAGUGCAAGAUACACACUCCUUUUUUGGGUGUAUAGGUUGCAUUGCUCUUUAAUAUAACUUCAAUUUCUUAUCUAUUUCUUGCCGCUAUAUUAGGCUGCUAAUGCUGCAUGGAACAUGGGAGAGUGGGACCAGAUGGCUGAAUAUGUUUUACGUUUGGACGAUGGGGAUGAGAGCAAACUCCGUACAUUAGGUAAUACAACUACUAGUGGUGAUGGAAGCAGCAAUGGUGCUUUCUUUAGAGCUGUUCUUUUGGUUCGUCGUGAGAAGGUAUGGAUUAUAAACGUCUUAUGAACUACACCCUUUGCAAGGACUGCAUUUAAGGAUUUGUUGCUUUUCCAGUAUGAUGAAGCUCGUGAGUAUGUUGAGAGAGCGAGGAAGUGCUUGGCAACAGAACUCGCAGCAUUAGUAUGUCUUUUUCCUUCCCUUUUUGUUGCCUAUCAGAUACCAAUGUUUGUCUACAUAUUUUGUGUUUGCUAUGACUUUUUUGCUGUUUAUGCACCAAAUGUGAGACCCCAGAUAGUCCUAUAUAUAAGAUAUUAUAGGGCUAAAAUUCUUAAUCCGGCUUAGGCAUUUUGGGCGGUGGCUAGACCUAAAGAGGUUAAGAGAGUUAAGCGUGUUAGGACGAGAGUAGUCCUGGGAUGGGUGACCCCCUGGGGAGCCGGGGUGUUACACCAAAUGUUAAAACAAAGGUGUUUUAUACAACAUAAUAUGUUAUUGUUAAAUUAUGUGAAACAAUCAUCAUUGAAUGGACUUGAACUUAGGAUUUUCUGCUCUGAUACCAUUUUAAAUUAUUUGAAACAACCAUUGUUUUCCAAAAGGUUAAACUGCGAGAGAAUAGUAUUUUUAAUAUUUAUAUUCAACAUUUAUACUUGUAUCUCUCUUUUAAAUAAGGUUAUAGCCUUGGCUUUGUUUUAUUUGUUUUAAUUUUUCAUAAUGCUCCUAGGUAGAUGCAAUUUUUCUAGUGAAUUCUUUUUAAUUUUUCGUAAAAACAUUUGUCCUUUUAUAAUGCAGUAUGUUGUAUUUUUGUAUGCUUUCAGGAAAGUAACACAUAAAUCAGAAAAUAUCUAUUUUGGAAGGAUGAAAUAUUGAAGAAGUUGUAUAACGAAGGAAAUUAGGGAUUGAUAGAUGAAUAGAGGGGAUGUGGUGUUGUUUGAUAGCUGGAUAAUUACAACCUUUUCCUUGUUUAAUUUCUUUUAUUUUGUGCUAAAUGCUCUUACAAAGAUGCAUUUUGUCUUGCAAUGUGAGUAGAGCUUUUCUUAAUAUGAAAGAAUUAUUCACAAUUUAUUCUUGCUUUCUUGAUAAGAAUCAAGACAAAAAUAAUAUAUAAAAUUUGACAUGAGUAGAGCUUUUCUCAAUAUGAAAGAUUUAUUCACAAUUUAUUCUUGCUUUCUUGAUAAGAAUCAAGACAAAAAUAAUAUAUAAAAUUUGACACGAUAUAUGGGAUUUGUGGGGAUUCAUGAUCUCUGUUCUCAGUUGUCAUGAAAUAUGUUCGUAUGAAAAAAUGAUGUAAUCCUCAGGAAUCGCAUUCCUAAUAGCAUUUUGCAUUUUCUUUUUCUUUUUCUUUCUGACUAUUCUCAAAUAAACCAUGUUAAUAAAAUGUCACUGAUUUUUUCUUGAUCUAGAAUUUGUGGAGUUUCUAGCUUCGGUUUUAAGAGUUCUGUAUGUCUUAUGUCUCUUUUUAUCUGAUAAUUAUGCUUUCUUUUGCCUAGGAAGAAGGAUGGCCAUCCCUUUGCUGCAUAUACUUUUUGACAUGCACACUCCCCACCCUUUUUCUUUCUAUAUUCUUAACAUGCUUCACUUUACUUCCUGAUCAGGUUCUGGAGAGUUAUGAGCGUGCUUAUAGCAACAUGGUCCGGGUUCAACAGCUGUCUGAGUUAGAAGAGGUCUUUUGCAUGUUUAUUCCACUUCUUCACUCAUAUUUUCAGCGUGUUGCUGAGCAGAACCUGACAUAGGACCAAAUACAGGUGAUUGAUUACUGUACUCUUCCAGUUGGAAACCCUGUUGCAGAUUCUCGGAGGGAACUAAUCCGUAACAUGUGGAAUGAGCGAAUACAGGGAGCAAAACGAAAUGUUGAGGUAGGCAUACUUCAUGUGGCAAACCCAAUUUAUGUUGCUGUACGAAGUUUUCGAACGUGCUGAUUGGUUAUUGAGCUUGCCUCAUGACAUCGUGCAGCUCAUAAUUAGAGUAUUUGGACUUAAUGACUAAAAAAUAAAAAAUAAAAAAUUUCCCGACGCAUUAUCAAUUACCUAACUCUGAAACUUCUUUUUAUUAGGUUAGAUUGACUUUCUGAAUUCUAAUGCAUUUGCUAAUAGAAAAAUCUUUGAGUGUUUGACUGAAAUGCUACCGUUGCCAUGCUGUUAUGUGCUUUAUCGUAUAACUACUGAACUUUUCUAUGCUGUUUUGGGAGACUAAUUCAAUGCCUGUGGAUUUUGAUGCUUACUGUAUAGUCAUAAUUUUUUUUUUGGUAAUACAUGCCUGAUAUCCUUUUUCUUUUGAUUGAUGACACUUGUGAAAAAUAAGGUUUGGCAAGGCCUCCUUGCAGUAAGAGAGCUGGUUCUUCCCCCAAAUGAAGACAUAGAAACCUGGCUUAAAUUUGCUUCGCUUUGUCUACAAAGUGGCCGCACUAAUCAGGCCAGAUCUACCUUAAUUAAACUCCUACAGGUUUGCCACUGAUUACACAGAAAUUAAUGAUUAUUAUCCACAACUGUUCCUGGUGAGAGAGAAUUGAAGAAGAUUUGCAAUAAAUUGCGUGCAGCAUGACCCUGAAUCAUCUCCCGAACUUUUAUUAUCCCAUGGACAUCCUCAAGUCGUGCUUGCAUACCUGAAAUACCAGUGGUCUCUUGGGGAUGAACUAAAAAGGAAAGAAGCAUUCUCUAGGUUACAAGUAUGACCUUUGUCAUUUCUUGUGCAUUAAUUGGAGUAACAACUCAUUUUUAGGCGUUCUUUGUAGAAUUAUAUUUAAUUGUCUACUCUUGGUCUCUGCUUCCUUCAGGAUCUGUCCAUGCAGCUUGCUGCAAAUACAAAUAGCUAUGCAGGAUCACUAAUGAAUUCAUCUAAUUCUUUGAGUGGUGGCGUUCCACUUCUUGCCCGUGUUUAUCUGACACUUGGGACCUGGAAGAGAGCACUAUCACCUGGCUUGGAUGACGACUCCAUACAAGGUAAUUAUGGGCUGCAAUGGGUUUAGUUCAGUUGAGUAGACUUCUGGAUGGGACAAUCCAAAUCUGAUCUGAACAUGACUAAAGUUGCUUUUGGAAGCUUACCUGAAAUAUUUAGGUUGAUAACCCUAAAAGUAUGACAAAAAACUUCAGCCCACUUGUCCCGAAUUGACUCUUUUAGGGUCAGCCGGAAUCCCAUUGGAUCUUUUAAUUCAUUUUCCAAAAUAUACAUUGUGAUCCCAAAUAACCCAAUUUAUCCGAGCAGACCAAACUUGCCCCGAAAUUACCGGUAUCAUGACCUAAAUCAUUUCAUGGUUAAUCUAAACUGAACAUAGUCAGGUAACUUCUUGGAUUGAGGAAUAUUGACCUAAACACCACCCUAAUUUAAAAUGGGCAAUCCAAACCAGAACAAACUGGGUUUUCUUUAGUUGGGUUCUCAGGUUGAGUUGAAAAUUUCCCCUACACCACCCCNAAAGUAACGAGUAGUUUCCUCUCACUUCCUUUUUGUUUAAAAUUAUUGAUGAAUUAUUAUUGCUUUAAUUUCCAGAAAUCCUAAUGUCAUUCAAAAAUGCCACUCAUUGUGCUAAGGAUUGGGGAAAAGCAUGGCAUACUUGGGCUUUGUUUAACACUGCAGUCAUGUCUCACUAUACUAUGAGAGGUCGCUCUGAUAUUGCUGGGAAAUACGUUGUUGCGGCAGUUACUGGUUAUUUCUACUCAAUUGCUUGUGCAUCAACUACCAAAGGAGUUGAUGACAGUUUACAGGUAAAUCUGGUUUCUUGAAGUUCAAGUUUCUCACUCAUCUUUUGGUUAAUUUAUAUUUUCCAAUUUGUAGUGCAUGGUGUUUGAGCUUUCUUUCCUUUUUUCCCCUUAAUUCUCAGUUGAUUUUCAAUAACAGGUCAAAUAAUACUUCUCUUUUAUAUCUCUUACAAGAAGUUGCCUAUCAUUUCUCUUUUAUACUUCUCUUUUACAAGAAGUUGCCUAUCAUUUCUCUAAGACCUUUCUUUGAAAUUCCUUGUACCAUAAGACACAUGAUAGUACUGUUAACUACUGUUGUUACUUUUACAUAUUUGUUCAAAGUAUCUAUUUUAAUUUGUUCUUUUCCACCUAUAGAUUUCCCAUAUUUUACAUAUAUUUUCUAGUUCGAUGUGCUAUAUGAUUUUUCUCUUGUUUCUUUUGCACCAACUUAUUUCCUGGUUCAUUUCUUAAUGAAGCUCUUCAAAAUUUAUGCUUUUUUUUAAGGAUAUUCUUCGUCUCCUCACAUUGUGGUUCAACCAUGGGGCUACAUCCGAAGUACAAACAGCAUUGCAGAAAGGGUUUUUACAUGUAAAGAUUGAGAUGUGGUUGGUUGUAUUGCCCCAGAUAAUUGCAAGGAUUCAUUCAAACAAUAAAGUUGUAAGAGAAUUGAUACAAUCGUUAUUGGUACGAAUCGGAAGAGGGCAUCCACAGGUUUGUGUUUUAUUAUAUGCUUCUGACUUUCAAGGACUCUUUAUGAUCAAGGUUCAUGUAUAACUGGUAAGUUAGAGCAUUCAAAAUUGGCGCAUCUAGUGAAUAAGUGUCUCCACCAACACCAUAUUGGUGGAUAUGACUAAGCACUUACUACUUAUUUGACUUAAAAACUUUUUGGGAGGAAUUGUGAUCUGGUUGAAGUUCACUAGAUUAUUGCAUUUUCAUCCUCUUGCAAUAGGAUUGUUAGGUUGCUCACUCAUGAUCUUGUCACUCUGGAGUCUUCUAGCUAAGUUUGUGUUCUCUCAGUUUGCUAAGCCUUUCCUAUCUAUAUGGGCUACUAUAUAAAUGCUCCCAGUAAGAAGUGAGUAAAAUAUUACUCUAGAAAGUAGUGCCCAAGACCAUAAUAAAGGAGCAGCCUUCUGUUUAUACUUGACAUGGCUCUCUUAGACUUGUUGGGGGAAGGAGCUUAUAGUUUACACUUAUGCUAAGUUGCAAACAAGGAGCAACCUUCUGUUUCUUUUGUAGAAGUGAUUGUUACCUUUCUCAUAUAGGACAUAAUAGGUUUAGAGGUGUAGCUGCAUGUUUUCUGUUAAUGUUUUGAACAAUUUUAUGAAAAUUUGCUUUUUUACUUUGUCAGGCUCUUAUGUACCCUCUGCUGGUAGCAUGCAAGUCAAUAAGCGUUUUGCGUAGGCGUGCGGCGCAAGAUGUCGUUGAUAAAAUUCGCCAGCAUAGUGGAGUUCUUGUCGAUCAGGUCAACACUAAUGUUUUGGGAGGUUUGUAGAGAAACUCGUAUUUGUAACCUUCUUGACAUAGCAGUUUGCUAAUUUUGCCAGGCUCAGCUUGUAUCUAAGGAGUUGAUUAGGGUUGCAAUCUUGUGGCAUGAAAUGUGGCACGAGGCUUUAGAGGAAGCUAGCCGAUUGUAUUUCGGUGAGCAUAAAAUAGAUGGAAUGCUUGCGACGCUUGAACCUUUGCAUGCGAUGCUAGAGGAGGGGCCUGAGACAUUGAAAGAGACUAGUUUCAUUCAGGUACAUUGCUAGAACUUUCUAUCAUUUUUACUGUAUGUUGUUAAGUUGCUGCAUUACUUACUGUCAAGCGAUGUUAUGUGUUUGAAAAAGCAAUGAAAUAAUAAAUUUUCUUACCAUUCUUAUAACGUGCUUUUCUUGAAUAAUAAUCGAGCACAUGGAACUUAUGCCAUUGUGAUACAUCUCUAGAACGCAGUGCACUUUUGAUGCCAUUUUCCCUUUAAAAGACCCCGAAAUGAACAUAUUGGAUUCAGAACCUUCCGAAGUAGACAGUUUAACGUCUUUUUUAGCUAUGUGAUUUUCUGAACCUUUAUCAAUGAAUAUCUCAGACAUAUGGCCGUGAAUUACUGGAAGCUCGCGAAUGCUGCUUGAAAUAUAGGAGCACUGGAAAGGAUGCAGAGCUAACUCAGGUGCAUAAAAUUUAUUAUGCGACAUCAUUCGUGUCUUGGAAAAAUAGAACUUUCUUUGAACUCAUUCUAUUUGAAUUUUCUUUCUAGGCCUGGGAUUUGUAUUAUCAUGUUUUUAGAAGAAUAGACAAACAGCUGCCUAGUCUCACCACUCUAGACUUACAGGUAAGCACUACAUGUAAUUUUUCCACUAGCAAAUUAGGUUUCUCCCACCAUCCUGAUUAUUGAUCCGACUUCCCUAAUCUUCCUGGUUCUUAGACUGUUUCACCAGAGUUGCUCAAAUGUCGUAAUUUGGAGCUUGCUGUACCUGGAACUUAUUGUGCAGGUAAGUAGGUCAAGAGUUAUUUGAGUCAUAAUAUAUACUUAACUGAAAAAAAUUUAUCUCCUGUAAUUUAUAUCUACUGUUACAAGCGAAUACAUUUGUUUGGUCUUUAAGGAGGUGGCUUGCAGAUAUUUGCUAAAUUUUUCAGCAAUUUCUGUCUGCAUCUUUAUUCGCAGAUUGUAUUGAGCUGCAGAUUGUAGCUCAAUAUUAGCAGAUUACUCAUUGAUUGUAGAUGACUGUCAUUGAAUGUAGAUAACUAUCUAUUUUAUGUUUUAUUUUCAAUUUCUGUAGCUCUUCUUUUUUAGAAUUUACAUUUUUAAUGUUAUCAACUUCACUUGCUUAAACAACACUUCCAACAUGAUAUUUCAUGUGCUAUAAUAGUUAAGUAUCCACAAUAUGAUUAUGUAAUGAAGUACGUUCUUUCUAUAUUUUGAACACACUAUUUCAUAUUGCUUUAUAAUCAUAAAUAGAUUUAAGCUUAGCUGUAGUACAACUAUCUUUGUCAUUUCAGAUGCCCCGGUGGUGACCAUUGCAUCUUUUGCACCACAACUUAUUGUAAUCACAUCAAAACAGCGACCUAGAAAAUUAACAAUUCAUGGAAGUGAUGGGAAGGACUAUGCCUUUUUACUGAAAGGGCAUGAGGAUUUGCGGCAAGAUGAACGAGUCAUGCAGGUUUGUAUCAUUUUUUAAUGUUGAUAAUCCAUCUAUAUUAAAGGAGAUGACUGGUCUUUCAGCAUCUUGUUUUAUCGGAGACUUGGUAAUUUGAUACCAAGUCAAAUUCUUUCAGCUUGUUGUGCAUCAUAAACUAACACUUCGACCCCUUUUUCCUAGCUUUUUGGUUUGGUGAAUACUCUCUUAGAGAAUGCAAGGAAAACUGCAGAAAAGGAUCUCUCCAUCCAGCGCUAUGCGGUCAUUCCUUUGUCUCCUAACAGCGGCUUGAUUGAAUGGGUUCCGAAUUGCGACACCCUUCAUCAUCUAAUCCGGGAAUAUAGAGAUGCUAGAAAGGUCCAUCUCUUGCUCAUUUCUUAUCAAGUUUCCGCCAAGCUAUCUUACAUUUUUGUCCUUGCUUUCAUUUCAGAUGUUCUUAAAUCAAGAGCAUAGACUUAUGCUGGCAUUUGCACCCGACUAUGACCACUUGCCCCUCAUUGCAAAAGUGGAAGUGUUUGAGCAUGCUUUGCUGAAUACUGAGGGAGAUGACCUUGCAAAGGUACAUUAAUGUGGAAUUUUUGAACUGAAUUGGAAAUUAUGUGUAUACUGAUAGAUUUAAUUAAUGUUUCAAAAUUGUGUUAGGUUCUGUGGCUAAAGAGUCGGACCUCUGAAGUUUGGCUUGAACGUCGGACAAAUUAUACAAGAAGCCUAGCUGUAAUGAGUAUGGUAUGGAAUUUUUAUAUUUGUAGUUGGAUAUUUUUUUUUUUGGCAAUUACAGCAUUAUUUUAGGGGAGGGCACUUAACAAGACGGUUCUCAUUUUUCAGGUUGGCUAUCUUCUCGGAUUAGGCGACCGCCAUCCUAGUAAUCUUAUGCUGCAUCGUUUUAGGUAUAACACAAACAUUGCCUUUUGACUCUGGUAGUAGAGCAAAUAUGCUGUUAAUUUUUUUUUAGUUGGAAAUAAUAUUGCUUUUGUUUUCAGUGGAAAAAUAUUGCAUAUUGAUUUUGGAGACUGCUUUGAGGCUUCAAUGAAUCGAGAAAAGUUCCCUGAAAAAGUAAGUGGCCUGAGUCUGAUAUUUUGACCUAUUGCAGUUUAUUUGGCAUCCAUAGCCCAUGAAUCUAAUCCGAUAUGAAACAGGUACCUUUUCGGUUGACAAGAAUGCUUGUGAAAGCUAUGGAAGUUAGCGGUAUUGAAGGAAAUUUCAGAUCAACCUGCGAGAAUGUCAUGCAAGUUCUGCGGACAAAUAAGGACAGUGUCAUGGCCAUGAUGGAGGUAAAUUAGAGCAGGAUUUCGAUCCUUUGGUUUGUCCUAAUUAUAUAAGUAUGUUUAGGUUAGAGAGGCAUUCUCUGGAAGAGGCAUGAAAAUGUUUGGACACUCAAAUGUUUGUGUUUAAGCUUGCAAAUAAGUUGUUUAUCUUUUCCUGAUCUCAUAAUUUGAAUAUUUGAUAUGUUAAUAUCGAUGCAGCUUAACAUCUAUCUGAUAUAUGCUUCUCGUCAUUGAAGAUGAAACAUAGUGGGGAGAUUGGUUCUUAUGUACCUUUCUUUUUUACUACGCAGGCCUUUGUGCAUGACCCUCUCAUCAAUUGGCGUCUGUUCAAUUUCAAUGAAGUCCCUCAAAUGCACGUUCACCCAGUUGUCAAUAGUGAUGAAUCUGCACCUAACAGAGAACUCCAGCAACCUCUUCGUGGGGUCCGUGAAAGAGAACUUCUUCAGGUGGCUUACAAUAUUGCUUAGUUCUCGAAAUUCUGUUUAUUUUACUUUGAACCAACUUGCCAAUUUGGCCUGCAACAGGCUGUUAAUCAACUUGGUGAUGCUAAUGAGGUUCUGAACGAGCGCGCAAUUGUUGUUAUGGCUCGGAUGAGUAAUAAACUUACUGGCCGUGACUUCUCUUCUGGUUCAUCAAUUGCUGGUUCCGCCAACUCCAUCCAACAUGUGGCUGAUAACGGUAACUUAAUUUCCGGUGAUGCUCGUGAAGCCGAUCAUGGUUUGAGUGUCAAACUUCAAGUACAGAAGCUAAUAUCACAAGCAACUUCGCACGAGAAUUUGUGUCAAAACUACGUCGGGUAUGCCUUCAAACUUACUAGUGCACUAUUAAUAACCUUUUUAUUAUUGCAUUUAUGGUGCGCGAUGUGUAGCAACAUAAUAAAAGGAUAUCGUAUAGUUAAGUUCUAAAGAACAAAAUAAAGCGGCAGUUUAUUGGGCUGAUCUUUCUUGCUAAAUAACUGCCUGUUCCUGAGCAUGUAAACUUUAGAGAAGGAAAUAUUACCCAUUUCUAGUUUUACGGUAAUACACAAUUGGAAAAAUUGGCAUCACGAAUUUCUGAAGUCUACACAAAUUAAUUGUAAAAUGGAACAAAUUCAAAGGAAAUAAUCAACAAGAGUCUUUUUAAGAGAGUCAAAAAGAAUAUAUACGCCUUUGUCCGUGGGAGCUGAUUGAUUGUGAAGAGAUUAAACCAGAUCUUCCAAUCUUUAGGCCGUAGUGUACAUUGGAUCUAUUACAUUCUUAGAAUUCUCUUAUUUAUUUAUUUAUUUUUUCCUCAGGUGGUGUCCGUUUUGGUGACCUGCUGCGAUUUUGUAAAUAAUGUAGAUAGGUUGUAAAUAUCAAUUGCUUUUCCUCCUGUAGAAAUGUUGUAUUGUAGUAAUGCUUGAAAUUAUCCAGUAUAUCUGCAUAGCAGUACCCUAGUGUUAAAGGUGGUGGCGUAACUAUCUCCCACUUGUUUGCGAGAUCACCGGCAUUGCAGCUGGUAUCCUUCUUUCACUGGUAAAACCCUAACCAAAGAUGAUUUUUAAUAGUGGAAACUAUUUCUUGUGGCCAUAUAUUUUCUGAUAAAUAUCAAAAUAACUGCUAGAUGUUAUUCUUUUCAUAUCGUUAGGACGGUGUCGUAUAUUAUCCUUUUGUUGUUUGGAGAAAGUGAUGCAUUACCUUCAGUAUGGACAUUGGAGACGUUUUGUGGGUUGGAGGCACGUCGAAGGACAUAUUUGUUAAAAUAAACCUGUCAUAUAAUAUGGUGUUGGCGCGUCGUUGUGAGUACUUUUUACGACUCUUGAGGUAAAGAUGGUGUCUCUUUUUGCUACGUUUCCAGUUUGUAUCAGGUUACUUUUAAGAGGCAUCGAAAGCUCUAUGUAGUUGUUUAGUCAGUCUCUCUCGUGCUCUCUCUCCUCCCCCCAGAAUUAGUAGAACGCAGCCUCAAUGCAUGAACGCAUCCAUUAAUUUAGCAUCCAAACAUAAUCAUUCAGUCGGACAAUUUUAUGUAAAUCGACAUGCUCGCAUCUUACAGAAAGUAGACAUGGUAUCCUACGACACACCAUCAUUUUAUUGAUCUGGAAAGUAUCACGGCAACAACAACGGGGAACUCGACGACAACAACAGGAACUCGACAAGAUUGCGGGAUUAGCACCCUUCUAAAUUUCACUUCCUGGCGAUCUUGCUCUUCUCAAAUAUUCAAAAACAAGCACACUGAAAUACUACAAGUAAACAGCAAACACCUCGGAGCAGCACUCCGCCUUGGCUCCCGGCACGGUAUGCCUAAGCAUAUGCAUCUGGGUUUGCAAGCAAAAAUACUUCCACACCCUUCAUCAGCAUGAAGACUCCUCCCUUUAUCUUGCUUCUCUCCUCCUCGGUGAGAUCGGUCUCGUCUAGGGUUUCGUACUCCACAGCAACUUUCCCGAAGCUCUUGCCGUCAGCCUCCGGCACAAUCUUAACCUCAAAAGAGUAGGACUUCAGUCUAGUCCCGAUCAGCCCUCCGUCGAUCACCGAAUACUUGAAAAUGUGGUUCUCGUUGUCCAGCACUUCGAUGCGGUCAGUUACGUAGUCGAAAGCCUCGACGGCUGGUUAAUGUAAAGAUUGCAUAAGUUAGACAAGCUUAGUGCUUCUCCGGCCUAGUUUCUAAACAUUUUGAAGCUUUUGAACUACUGAAAACAAUGAAAGCCUACUAGAGCGUUUCAGUCAAAAAGCUUGUUAAUGCUUCUUUGGAUAAUUUUAUUCAAACAGCAUUUACAUAGAAGCUCCAGUAAGAUAACAACGGCUGAUUCACAAAUAUUCUUACCAUCGGUGAAGUUGAACUUCUUGACGGUGCCCACCCCACCGUUGCCUUCGAGAACCUCGACACUCUUGACAUAGUCCGGCGCAAUCUUCGGCAUCAAGUUGUGGGUAUCGAGGAUGCCGGCCUUCCACAGCCGGUCCACGGCGACAGGCGAUGAGAACUCAUCGGUGAAGGACCCAGAAACCAUUUUCGCUCGGAUGGAGUGGAGAACAAAAGGAUAAAUAUAGAGAGAAAGCAAUGGAGAGAGUAUGGAAGGAGUGACAGGAAAGAACCUAUGGAAUGACCAAAUUAAGGGAGGGCUCUCUACAUAUAGACUUUUAGUGAUGGAAAAAGGCCGGCUUCUAUGGGUCCACACUACUAUUUGCACCCGUUUGGUUCACGGUUUGUAUUAUUUUGAUAAUUUUUUAUAUUUUUUAUUGAAAAAUAUUUAAAUUAAUUACUAUUUAACUCAAGUGGGUCAUUAUUAAAGAUGUUAGUAAAAUAGUGAAAUCACUAUAGAUUCUGAAGUAAGAAAAAAUGCUAAAUUUUCAUAAAUUUUAGAAGAUAUAUUUAUUUUCAUGCUUAAUGAAAAUUCAUAAUAGUCUAUUAAUUAGAACAUGUUAGUUCUCUAACUUUAUAAGUUAAUAACAAAUUUGCUAUUUCAAAUAUAAAAUAUACAAUAUUUCUGAAUAACGAUAAAACUUGAACCAUAGGGCUCCUUUAAGUAAGUAAAGUGGAGUUUAGAGAGUAGUAAUCAAAUGAAGGGAUGCAUUAAUAUUCGUGAGAAGGUGAGUUUGGUGGUACCAUAGUGAUAUGUAUUUGGACUGUUUCUUACGUGGAAUUGAAGUAAAUAAAGCGUCACCAACCUAAAAUUUGGCACCGUUUGAGGAUUAAUUUAAAAUAUAUUAUUAUAAGAAGCAUCCCGUACUAUUUAGAUAGACAAAAUGUUUUAUCAUUUGAUCAUCAUGAUGUUUGACAUGUAGUGCAUGUUGUACCGGUGUAUAACCACCAAGUCUCACAGCUUGAGGUUUUUAAAUCCAAAGAUGAAUUGUUUAAUGUGAUCUACGCUAUUAAAAGAUCUGCAUCUUAAAAGAUCAUAACAUUUUAUGAUUUUUUUUUUUUCAUGUAACAAAGAUUUUACAACUAUUUAAUGACUAGUUAAUAAUUUUUUAUAAGUAAAACUAAUUUGAAGUUACAGAUCAUAUACGACGGUAAAUAAGAUUUAAAUUUCAGGACCUCUAGCUACAAAUUUCGGGGAACAUCGUCGUACAUCUCUCUCUUUCUCAGCGUAGUAGGUGGAUAUGAACACAAGAAAAUGAAGCCAAAUCUGGGCCAGCAAUGUGCACUGAUCUUUUCUUCUCGUUUGGUUAAUUUGUUAGUUGUAGAUGUAUAAUUAAUUAAAUCAAUCAUUUUGGAGCUAUUUGAGCAGGUAAAGCAUGCAUGUCUAAUAAGUAGGUGGGUGGUUUUCAUUUUUUUUUUCUGGGUAAAAAUGUAUAGAGGACCCUCCUAUAUAGCCCAUUUACAAGCAACCCCUCAAGUUUGUCUUUUUAUAAAAAAAAAAAGAAAAUUGGAGGGUUGGGGUGAUUUUAGGAGAUCGCUAAAAUAAUUUUAUUAAAAAAAGAUUAAGUAUAUGUAGUAUUGCAUGUGCUGCGAAAGUUAGAUUAUAAUAACCAACCAAAAUAGAAGAGUAAACUUUGCAUCAGGUACAGCAAAAAGAGAAAAACGAUAAGAAAGAAAAAAUAAGAAUAAAAUAAAUCCUUCCAAUUCUGCGAAUACUAUCGCUCAAACACUUGCACUAACUCCUAACAUUCAAACAAUCGUUUUUCGACCAUAGAGCACCUUCGCUUAAAUUUCGUUGAGCCUUCCUAACUUUUUGAGUAAUUUGAAUUGAUUUCAAAAGUUUUGUUGAAUUUAGUAACUUCAAUUAGCUAUUAGCCAUUAAUUAUUUUAAUUUUAUUGACUAAAAAAGAUUGAACUAUUAAGUUACAUAAAACUAUUGAUAAAAAAAAAAUUAAGAAAAUGUUAAUUUUUUUUAAAAAAAUUGCGAGAGCUUCUCACAAAUGAAUGAGGCCGGGUAAAGUAAUCCAAUAAUGAGAACUUUCCAUUUUCGGCAAAAAAACGAAAGAUACCAAAAAUAGACUUAUGAAAAGUCGGGCCGGGUCAAAAUAUACCUCAAUCUAAGCCCGGCCCAAUAAGCUCGAGGGAGAGAUACGGGCUAAAUCCAUAAGUGGGCCCAUACGGCCCAUUGGGGUGGAACCCAAUAAAUGGGCCUUAGUAGGCCCAUUUCUUCCCUCGCCCAUAUUGGGUCGGGCGUAGAUUGAGGUAUGUUUUGGCCCGACCCGACUUUUCGUAAGUCUAUUUUUGGCGCUUCCCCUUUUUUUGCCUGAAAAGGAAAGUUAUCACUUUUUAACCACUGAUAUACUACCUUUUCUUUUUCUUUUUCUUUUUCUUUUUCAAUUGGCAUUCCUAUACCUAAAAGUGAUUAAAAAUGGCCAAAUUUAAUAAAAUUGAUGAUUAUAUUCAAUAGAAUUUUUAAUUCAAUCCACGGAAAUCAAGAUAAAUAAAAAGUUAAGAGGGUUCAUUUCAUCAAAAGUUAUAUUGUUAUGACCUUAACUAAUCUAGCUCAAAUUACUUUAUUAAUCGUGCACAUGUACGUAAAUUUAAAUUUCCAAUUCACAUUAUAUGUGCGAGGACUCAAAAAUAUUAUACCAUAGCUUUAAGGAUUAAAAUACCGUGACACGAAAUCGUGCAAGAAACUUGUCGGUACAGUACGAUAUGAUGCGUGCCGAUCAAAAAAAUAUGUGUGCCGAUACGUAAUGAUAUGAAAUAUAAUUUUUUAGCAACAAAAUAUGACAGCUAUUUAUUAUUAUUUUUAUCAAAUAUUUUAAAUUUUGUUGAGAAAAUUAUUUACUAAUUUCAAGAAUAAAAAUUUUUGAAUUGGACCAUCGACCCGAGAACUGUAUUGCACCGAAAUCUUACUAGUAUGAUACGAUACAGUGAAUAAGGUUCGUACUGAUGGACACUUUAACCCUUACGUGGCUUUUUAUUUUUCAAUUUUCUUCUAAACUUUUUUUCUUCCUUCUCUUUCUUUUUUGGGUUUGAAACGUGCAAAUGCUUCCUUUGAGCUGUAAAGUGAAGGGCAUUUAUGUUUGCCUUUAGCAGUAGUCCAAAAGAAACACCAUUUUCUCUCUGUACACUUCUACUCACCUCCAGAAGCUUUAACCAAUUUUAAUCACCAAUGGCUUCUGCUAAAGACAAUUACAAUUCAAAAGUAACAUAAAUACUUCAUCACACAAUUGUCGAAACAAGGAGCUUCGGAAUAGACUAGAAAAAUGGAGAUAAUAAAGUUCUACAUAAACACUGCUAUGCCUCAGCAACAACUAUAAAAGUGACAGUAAAGCGUUCAAUAAACAAAAAGUGUAACCUUUGAAAAUUAAAAUAAGUUUUUGGACCUUGAAAAUAAAGUAAUUGAGAUAAACUUGCAAUAAAAAAAUUGAUAAUAUUUCCAAAUUAGAAAAAAAAAAAAAACAACACGUGGCUUCCCAUGUGACCCCUCCCUGUGUUGCCCAUAAUUGCUACUAUUCAAACUCAUAACCUUUUGUUUAGAGCUGUUUCCUAAUAUUGAACAAGGCAUUCCUGGGCAUCAACAGCAGUGUACAAACUUUACGAAACCCCCCUAAAAAAGAAGAAAAAACUUUUGGAACAUCUGUACAAAUCAAAGACCGUUGUGGCUCAUGGCGCGUAAUCGCACAAAUAUACAUGGAAAGUUGGUAUCUGCAUGCAAACUACUUGCUUAUUACGCGCAUAUCCUGCAAAGGGUAUCUAUGUAAACAUAUUUCUAUAUAAGCACAUCAGUUUUUAUCCUAAUUCUCUAGCAGAGAUACGCGCACAAACAAGUGAGAUUUUAGAAACAUGCAUGCAAAUUCCAACUUUGUGAGGGUAUCUGUACAAUUUUGCAUACUUGCAAGGAUAUUUAUGCAAAAAUCCUCAAUUCUUUCACUUUCAACUUUGCUUUUAAUGAUGAGGGAAAGUGCUUCCAAUUAUGGCAAGGAAAACGAGUGCUACAUAAUUUGGCGUGGACAUGUUAUCACAUAGAAUAGAACACAAGCAAGGAUGGAGAACCCAAUUCCCAACAGUUGUAGGAUCAGCCUUAACUGGUCCCCUACAGUAGCCUUAACUGGUUCUUUCAUUUUUCACUUAUUCUGUUCCUUCAACACAAAAAUAUCUCACCCAGAUCUCUUCAUAUGGCUUGUUUUGCACAAUCAAGAGUUGUUUGAUUGCGUGUAGUUUGAUUCCCAAGUAUCUGUUCUUCUUCGAAAAGCAAAAGCUAAAUGCUUGACAAAAAAAGAGUAAAGAACUGAAGUAAACUCUUUAAUCAUAAAAGUAGGAGCUCCUAUUUGUAGCUUUUGGUUUUACUGUAGUAGAAAGUUUUGAGAUUUCAGAUGUGAACCUUUUCAAUCGGCUUCAUUAAACGGCACAUAAGCCCUACCAUAGCAUGUAGUGCUAUUUGACAAAUUGUAUUUGAAUACAGUUAUCGGAAGCACCCUAUGUUAGAAUCGCCUCAACAUCUUAUCUCCGCAGCAAAAGCAAAAGCAAAAGCUCUAACCUUUUCCCAUAGCAUGCCUUUUCUGUUUGCGCGAAGCCUUACUAAAAAUGACUGCAGCUAGAGGCUAAGACGGAAUCAGGACCAAGCAGCCAUCUAAUGUUGUUCAAAGAAUUACUGAAAACUAUUUUAAUAUAAUGUUAUCAGCAGUUGUCCCUCGUCUCCAUAUGUUCUGUUUUUGGGAUCUAAAAGCUCAGUUUUCGGUUCUAGCUAGAGCCACUCUAAGAACUUCGAUAUGACAAACAUCUGGCUUCUGCCCCACGAGUAGAAAGGGUUUAAAACGAAUUUAAUUUCUAUCACUACGUAAGAACCAUUACUUUCCUUGGGCAAGAGGGAUUCUCAAAGUGUGGAUAUCUUCCUCCCCUCAAAGUGUCCUUACUACACUUUUUGACCCAGUCCUUAUGAUCAUGUUUGGUCGGCCGGGAUAUUCCAAUCACACCUCAAUCAUAGCUAAGCCGUGCCAAAAGCAAAAAUUCCUUAUGAAAAAAAAAAGAAAACCUAAUAAAAAUAGCCCCAUUUUGCCACCCACAACCUUUUGAGAUAUGAUAACGAGUCACCACACCACCUCCCUAUCAUCACUUUUCUUCACCUCUUUAUAUCCCUUCUCCCCCACAAAACGAUUCCCUAAUAAGUGCCCCACACCUUUUAGCCUCCAAAAUAUUCCAUGCCCCUCACAACUAGUACAAAUUAGUCUUUGCCUUCUCGAUCGAUUGUUCGUCCCUCGUUCCAUUCUCUUUGUUUCCUAAGUUCUCGCGUAAGUUCUCGAAGAACCAAUACAUAAGAAUAACACUACCCCACCAACCCAAAUUGUUCCGCAGAUUCCAUAGAACCGAAGUUUCAGUAAAUGGCUCAAGAACUAGAGGUAAGUGAGCGCAGGAAUACCCUGGUAUAGUAACAACAGUAUCAAUAGUAUCAUGAUAAACAAAUAUAACAGCAUAAUUAUCUUUCUUUUUCUUAUUUUGCUAACUUUUCUCUAAAUUUCUGAAUCCAUGCAGAGAGCUCGAGUCACCGAAUUGCACGUCCGCAUGGAUUGUAAUGGCUGCGUGCAGAAGAUCAAGAAGGCAUUGCAUAAUAUCGAAGGUAAACAAAAAUCAGAAGAAAGAAAAUCCAGAGUACCUUUAUUAUUA
rnacentral:lncRNA from 1 species